AUUGACAAAUCUAUCACAAAAUUAUGCCACAACAUCCUUCAAUACAUCAAAAUCCAAGUUAUAGUCAAUUGUACAUACUAGACUCUAAUAAGGCUAUUGAUCUUAGAAAACAAAACCCUUUUAACAUUAACUGUGAUUAUAAUUUAUUGCUUCAACUAGAUACAAUACUUUGACAUAUUAAUCCAUAUGCAGAAGUUUUUAGAAUGAUGUAUAAAUUGGAACAAGAAAAUAUUUUAAGAACUAUUAUCUCUGGUAGAUUUUUACAUGGAGUAUAUAUGCUCAUUAAAAAUGAAGGCACAAACCAUCAUCGAUAUAAUACUCCACAAACUAAUGAUGUUGUAAUAGUUUUCUAAAGUGAAGAUAGGAUGCCACUUUUUGACCGUGAAAUAUGCAUUCAUCCAAAAUCAUCAGAACCACAACAUAUAUCUAUUUUAAAUGCUAAUUGCAAUCCUAUGGUUUAUCCAUUGCUUUUUCCACAUGGAGAUAAAGCCUAACAUGACAAACAUUCUUCUAACAAACAUAUAACACUCCUUCAAUAUUAUGCUUAUUAUUUGUCCAAAAGAGAUUUAAUAUUAUCAUCCUCUAUAGUUACAUAUGACCAAAUUUUACAUGCUGGAAAACUCACCCAAUAAUAUAUUGUAGAUGCCUAUAUUAAAAUUGAAAGAAAUAAUUUACAAUACUAUAGAUCUAAUCAAAAAAAUAUGAGAGUUGAUUUUUAUACAGGUUUAAUGGAUUAUAUUACUAGCAAAGCUACUGAUGCAAAUGCUCGACUAGGAAAAAUUGUUAUUUUACCAUCUACUUUAAUAAGAACCCCAAGAGUUAUGCAACAAAAUUACCAAGAUGCUAUGACAAUUGCAAUAAAAUACUCAAAACCUAAUAUUUUCAUAAUUUUCAAUAGCAACCCUAAAUGGCCUAAGACAUUACAAAAUCUACACCCUAAUGAAGGACCUGAAGACUGACAUGAUUUAAAAUAUUUUCUCCAUGAUAUUACAAAACAUAAUAUCUUUGGAAGAUGUAUUGCAUUUAUAUAUGUCAUUGAAUUCUAAAAAAAGGAUUGCCACAUUGUCAUUUCCUAGGCACAUUAGACAAUGAAAGUAAAAUUAAAGACCAUAAGUAAUAUAUAUCUGCUCAAUUACUUAACCAUUUAUCAGAGCCCAAACUAUUUGAAAUAAUUAUAUCACAUAUGAUACAUGGUUUAUGUGGAUUACUAAAUCCUCAAAGUACAUGUAUGAAAAAAAAAAUGCUCAAAAAACUAUCCCAAAAACUUCAAUGACAAGACCAUAUAUUAUGUAGAUGGGUACCUAAACUAUUUAAGACCAAACAAUGACUGCACCUUCCUUAAAAAUCAUGUUCCAAUUGAUAAUAAAUGGAUUAUAUUCCCAUAUAAUAAAUAUUUAUGUAAAAAACAAAGUCCAUAUAAAUGUAGAAAUAUGUCCAUCAAUUAAAAGUAUUAAGUAUCUUUUUCAAUAUGUUUAAAAAAGAUAUAAUUGUGUAACCAUUGAAAUCCAAACAACUACAUAGUCUAAAAACAUAUUAAAUUAGGUCACAAAUAUUAUAAAUACUCAAUAUAUUUCAGCACUAGAAGCUAUUUGAAGGAUAUUUAAAUUUAAAAUACAUGGAUGCUCACACCCUGUAAUACAUCUACCCAUUCAUCUUUCUAAUUUUCAACAUGUAUAUUUUACAGAAGGUUUAGAGCACAAUGCCUUGCAAAGGGCAAUAUGUAAUGGAACAAUGCUAAUAAAAUGGUUUGAGCUCAAUAUUCAUGAUCCAAAUGCAAAGAGAUGGGAAUUCCUUACCAGGCUAAGUAUGCUUAUAACAUGUAGAAAUUCUGUCCUUAUCUGGUCUAAGUACACUCGAAAUGCCUAAUUAACUCCACUAGCACAAAAGGGACUAAUAAAGGGUCCAACAAUACUGACUUUUUGCUAUCCUAGCAGUAAGGAAAGCAUAUUUAAAAGGACUAGCCGACAGAUAGCUUUCAAUAUCCGAAAUCACAUUCAUGAUAUUUUUCCCCCCCUUAGGGAAGAUCAAUGUCCUUGUCAAUGCAUACUUCAAUCUAAACCACUGCCAAGGAAAUAACUCUAGAAAAAGUUCACAAUGAUCACACUAUGUGAGAAAUGCACCAACUUAAAUGGGUUAGGGUAACCUUUUUGUCUAAUGUGGAUAUGCUACUAACUCAAACACCUUUCAGCUGUCGUUGAUAAGGAAAUGACCAACAGAAUUAGCCACUCUUGCUACUCUGGGUGUCACCUAGCUUACAAAAGUGUGAUACACCCUUGCUCGUAGGGACAUAGAGAGAGAACCCAGUGGCCCAAACCCUCAUGAGCAAAGAAACCAAGCCCAUUAGUAAAGUUUAUAUAAACUACUGUAAACAGACAGUUAGAGUUAUUUAUAUGGUCACGCCCUUUUAACGGAAUAAGGAAUAUCAAUAGAGAGGUGGGUGAUGUGACCAAUCGAUCGUAGCUACCCUAUGACUGAAGAAUUCACCAUGCAAACGAAGUGUUGAAGCCAAUCUACCUAUACUAGCCCAAACUCAAAGAUCAACAGAUGGACAAUAUCAAAGUCAAAGACAAUGAUAUCUUAGAGAUUUAAUUAUCAGUGAAUAAAUCUUAUAUUAAAACACAAAAGUAUUCCAAGUAAAUUAUCAUCUGAUAAACCAAUAUUAGAGUACAGGAACCACCAAGAUCUUUAAAAGUUAAAAUCAUAGAAUUAAUCAUUCAACAAAAUUGAGAAAACUCAAUGAUAAAAUAUAACCACCAAAAAUUGUAGAUAGUAUGCCAAACAACUUACCAAAACUAACUCAAAAAACACAAAAUAUCAUUGAUUGGCAAACAAAAUGCUCGCGAAUGUAUUGUUUGAAGGAAAUAACAUUUUAAUCUAUCAGAAGCAAUUGUAAUGAUAGUCAACAGAAUAGAAUGAAUAUGGUAAAACCAAUAAACAUUCGCUCAUGCCAACUGUCAUAUUAACCAAUUUGAAUAGAUUCCAAUCAACAAUACAAAGGAGCUCAAGUUGCUUAAGUAAGCAUCGGCAACAUCUUAUUGAUGUCUCAAACCCAAGAAACUAAUCUAGAGCAAACCACAAAGAACAUACGGUAAUGUGAAAAACCAUAAGGUAUCAAAGAGAAUAAUUAAUUAUCAUGAAAGAUCAUUAAUCAUCCCAUCAAUAGAGAAAUGCAUAAUGAUUGUCGAAGAAAAGAAUCCACCAUCCUGAAGAAUGGCAAAUCAUUCUAGAUUAACAAUAAUCAAGCUAAUUUUUUUGACAAAAACAAUCAACUAUCCCAAAAUGAUAAUUAUUUAUCAUCAAUGAUUGCCAUAUGCAAAUAUUAACAACAUCAAAGUUAAUAAUAUAGCGCAUCUUAUUUCUCUCCCUUUAAGUCAACUGCAAAAGGGGCAAUUGCUUGAUGAAAGAGCCCUUAGUGGCUAUUUUAUCCCUAUUUAUCCCUCAAAGUUCGAAAGAUCCACAGUGACAGUAUAUCCAAAUCUCAUCUCAUGAUCACAUGUGUUACACUCACCCCCCCCCCCCCUUCAGAAAGUCAAUGUCCUUAUUAACUAUUGACUAACAACCCUUACUGAGCCAUAGAGAACUAACACCUCUAUUUCUGCACUAAAUCUAUUAAUCCUUUCAUUCAUUCAUUCAUAAUACACAUGGACCAAUAGUACAGAUACACCUAGUGUAAAUGAAAUCCACCGGGUGUAUGUGUAAAUGAAAUCCACCGGUGUAAAAUCCACCCUUUUAUGAAUUGCAUGCCAUACAAACAAAAUUGUGGCUAAGUUUUCAUUUUUUGUUUCUUGUGUUUAUAAUUGAGUUAGUGGUCUAAACCACCGGGCCGUCGGAUGAAGAUCGUGCGGUCCCUGACGAUUCUAGGGCGCCAUUGUCAUCGAAUCCUUAUCACGAUAGGGCGCUCUUGAUCGCUCUCCGGAUCAUCGAUUCCAGCGCGCGGCGGCGAGGGUUUCAACUAACCAAAUGGACGAGGAAUUGGCUAAGGUGGAGGCUCAAAUCGGGCUUCUUGAGCUGCAGAUCCAAGCGGCUGGGGAAUCUUUUCUCUCUGCCUUUCAGAGUGACAAUCUAUCUCUGGCGGACUAUUGGCAGAAGAAGGAAGAGCAGCUGCGGAAGGAAAAAGAACAGCUGCGGAAGGAAAAAUUACAGCUGCGGAAGAAGGAACUCCUCCUCCUCCAAUGUAAUGGUAAGUCAUUCUGUGUGUAUUUAGCUUUCCCCCUCGAUUUGGGGCGUUUUGCUGUGUGUGUGGUUCCAUGUGGCUAUGGCUGCUUUCGGCCAUGGUUAAGGAUUUUGCCAGAGGUGGCUUCAAUUCGCUUUUAUUUUGGGUUGCUGGAAGUGUGGCUUUUGGCUAUGCUGACGCAUGCUCCCCUGGUCGUCCUUGUAUGGCUAUGGCUGUUGAGACCCUGGUUUUUUCUUCUAGAUCUAAUACUAACUUUAUUUUGUUCUGAAUGUUGCAGUGCACGGACCUGGUAAGCAAUUGGGAAAGCCCUUUGUUUCCUAGCCCAUUUUCUGUCCAGUUCUUGGUAUUCCAUUUGUCCAGUUCUGGAUGCUACUUUAUCUAGUUGGGUGUCUUCUCUUUGGGAUGACUGGUAGCCUGACACUAUAGUUUGCUCAGUUCUGCUCACAAGUCUGUGCGUUCCUCCAAAGCCCCCUUGUUUGCUUUUCAUGUCUGUCUUGUGUUUUACUUGGUCAUUCCGCGAUGCCUUUUCUUUCAAAUUUCGUCGCUGCUAAUCUGGUAGCCCUCUCUGUCGAGUACCCUUCGCCUCUCAGAUCUGUGUUGCGAAAUCCCUGACCAUAACCACACAUGGAAGAGAUGACUAACCGAGUUCUCCUCUCCCGCAGCAGCCUCUCUUUCACCCGGAGCAGCAGCAACUCUUUAUCCCGGAGCGGCUGCUUUGCUUUCCCUGUCUGGUCACGGUUAAGGAUUUUUGCUUCCUGAAUCUGUUUCUUUCUUUCUGUGUGGAUAUUUGGUAAUCUCCGCAUCCUUGUGGUCAUUCUCACCCCUGUUUGCCCUUUGGCUGUGUUUAAUUCUGUGGCCAUUCCUCCAUAGACUUUAUUGUGCCUCUCACAGCAUCAGCGCCAGCAGCGGGACUUCCUCCAGCCGAUUCUUAGGUGCCUGGUAAAAAUGAUGUCUAGGGGACUGAAAGCCAUAAUUUUUUGUGUCAGACAAGAUCGCCUGGGCCAAGAAGCUGAACGAGAACCUGACCGCAGAUUUUGCUGACGAUGGCACUGACUGGACAAGCCAUGCGACUUUUCGGGAGCUCCAUACUUCCGCUUUCUCUGGAAUGGAGUAAAACAUACAUGUACAUGGGUCGCUCACUCUUACAGAGAUAAAAAGUUUCGUAUCGGCCUUGAGACACGGCACUUUGGAUAAUGACAACCUUCCUCCAGACCACUGCUCUCGCUACGGUGGCUGGAUAUCUUCGGCAACUUUGGAAGAACACCUCCAAGAAGGUCGUCUUUAUCAAUGGCGAAUGUUUAAUUGACAAUCCCUCGAGGACAAUGUGGCUGGCUCUUUUGCUGAGCUACAUAGACGACCUUCCAGCCGAGCUUUCAUGCUGGGGGCUGGACCUUGAAAGUAUUAGAAUUUUGGAUCCUGAUGCUGCGGGUAAAUGAAGUGAGUGUUGUGGAGGAUUUCAAUCCUUGUCCCCCUCAGGAUUUUCCAGAACUUGCUAAGCCAGAACAUCUUUCAGAGGUACACUGGUUUCUUCCUCUCCUUCAAAGCCUUCUCUUCCUGGAUUUCAUCACCAUUGUUAUCGGAAAACUUCACCUUUGGCUUGUACAUGCUGGGAUCCUUCUUCUUGAUCUUGGCUAUCAUCUCUAAAAUUAGUAUCUUUGCAGCACUCCAUCUUCCAGUCUUCCUCAUUUGAUGGCAAAUUCAUGUCCAGAAGCUUACACUUUCAAAGCAAUGCCAAUUUUGGCCUUUGCUUAGGAUAAUAAUUCAAAGUUGAAGAGAUUAGAAUACUCUUUCUUGAGCUAGUCAAUUGCUAUAAUAUAAAAACUGUUGGAGGGAUUUGAGAAAUAAAGGAGCAAAAUAAAAAUAUUGAACAGAAACAUUGAUGGGAAGACCAAAGUGAUGAAAGUAAAUGUAAAAAGAAAUAAAAUAAAAAUAAAGGGAAGGAAAAAAAAAUUUAAAAGUAUGAAACAAAAAGGAAAAGUCUCAAAUAUGCAAUCCUAAAAACAACUUGCAGUAAUAAAAGCUCAAACUCAAGAUUGCUUACACUCACCACAUAUAUACAUUUGUAUAAUUGUUGAAAACUGAUUUUAUUGUUAGUAUAGAUGAUUUUGCCACACAAUGCAACUGUAAAUGGCAAUGUGUGGCAACAAGCCAAGCAAUAAAACAUAAACCCACAAACCUUUAUCAACUUUUAUCAUUUUAUCAUUCCAGACACCACAAGCCAAAAUCCCUGCUUCAUAAACCAGAAUUCUGCAACAAGGAAAUUCAUUGCUCCAUUUCUCCAAGAGGAUAGAGAUGACACCUAAUGUCUAAAGCACUAUACCUCUAAUACCAUGUGAAGAGUCUCCAUCUAACACUCUAAAGAAAGAGAGCAGCUAAAACCUUAAAUUGACUCAAGCCACUUAGCUUGACUCUAACAGUGGUAAGAUAGGAUGGCAUUGGUGGCUGCCACAUUCUCUACUUUGGUGGCAGGAAGACCCUUUAUUCACAAUGUCUAGAGGGAUGAGCAUACCUAUACAUAGAAGCUGCUUAAACAAGCUAUGGCAUGCAAUUUGUAAAAGGGUGAGUGUUACUGCAGCAAAUUUCACUCACAAUACAGUGUCCAUAUGGCAGUUUUCUAUUGGUUUGGCAUUAAAUGUCAUUUGGAUCCCUCAUGGAUACCCCAUGGAUGCUGGCCCGAUGGGUUGAUGUCCCCAUAAUAUGAACAAUGUUCUAUACAUAGAUGCCACAUAUCAUCAAGUUUGACCCCAUGACAUAGGGAUUCAUUAGGUCAUAGGGUUUAGGAGAUGCUUCCUUGCUUUAGUGCCUGGUCAUGGCAGCAGGGUGCAAGCUGCCCCACUAAGAACCUAACCCUAAAGUGCGAUGGAAAGCGCAUGUUUCUUGGUAGCAGAUAUUUGCUAGUGAUUGGUUUUAAAUGUUUUUGUGGGCAGUGUUGGAAGUGGCUUUGAUUUACUACUCGAUUGCUCUCUAUAGACUUUCAAGUUCUUACCAUGAGUAUAGUUCCCUCGCUAGUUUACUUCAAAUUUCUGUCACUGAAACUUUUUCUUCUAGGUUACUGGAAGACGUGGAGGAAGACAAGAUGGAUGGCCUUCCAUCCAAUUUUAGUGAUUCGGACUGCGGUUCCAGUAUGGAUAGUGACAAUGAUGCUCUCCUAGAGGUUUGCUUAGUUUCUAGCCUCCUAAAUUCAUGAUUUGCACGUUUCUAGGCUUUCUAUAAUUUUUUGCAAUCGAGGGCAUUUGGUAGUCCAGCUGCAUUUAGCACUUGGAUGCACCUGACGAUCCUCAAGACUAAGACUACUGCUUUUACCUCGCAUGCUAUCUUAGAAUUUCUAAGCCAACACUAUACAAAUACAUACGGCUUGUCGAUCUAAAUUGUAGAGGUGUAUAUUACAGAGUACCACCCGAAGAAGUACUUCAUCACGUUCAAAAUAACAAUGCCAUGAAUUGAGGUGGCACAAACUGGAGGAUUAUCAAUUCUCAAUCUAGCUGUCGAAUUGGAGGAUACUAGUUUAGCCAAUGCCAAAUUUGUGAGGCUUUAGCCACUCACGAUCCUAGUAGGUUGGAACAAAGGCACAUGACAAGGAUUCGACAAUGGAUUUAUAGGAACGAGGAGGCACUUUGCCAUAUGGAUUGUGAGUAUUCUUUCAUUUCUGUUUUUUUGUCAACACAUGUGGUAACAUGCUUAUUGUAGCAUAUUGCAAGCUUGUAAGCUAUGGUUUCGAUGUACAUGCCAUUAUUUGCUGGGCAACUCAUUAUAUUGUAGCUUGCGAGCUAACUACCUCCAAAGAAUCCUAUGCAAUAUUCAACACAUAUGCACAGGCUGUUCGUCGAUUUGCAAGGCCCAAGCACAUCCGAAGCGACAAUGCUCCAAAACACAAUGAGGUUGAGAGGGACAGAGUCCUACAGCUAGGAGCUUCAUAUGUGGGACAUCAACACAUAACUAGGUACUCACAGCAUUAAAGUUUUUCCAAAUAAGGACUAAAUCAAAUUUGUUUUGCAGCCUAUAAAGCAUUUGUGGAGAGAGCUCUUUGAGUGUGUGGUGUGGUUUUAUAAGCACCUUUUUGAGUCCAUGGAAGAUAUAAGAAUUCUCGAUGUAUCUAAUCCAUAGCACAACUAGAGUCUAUGUUGUGGUUUUGCUCCGUACCUCAAGAAGGAUAUUUCACAUUGGGUUGCAACCUGGAACGUCCAUGAGGUCCGUCCGUAUUGACGUGGUGAUUACUUUAAACCAUCUUAUGUUCCUGCAAACUUAUUUCAACCGAUGGAACGAGAGUUUGGGUAAGAAUUUUGGUAAUGUUACAGAAUUCUUUAUUAAUUGUGCUUUUGUAGGAUUAUGCUGGCUGUUGGUGGAAAAGAUAUUGAAAAUGUUCCUGGACCAUUUCUCUCCAAUAUCGAAGGUGCAACUCUGUCAAAGGUAAUCUUUAGAACAAAAAUAGAACAAUUUCUUUAAAUCUAUUUUGUUGUUUUUAGCUACCUUACAGGCUCAUGGCACUGUUCGAAACCAAGCAUUUUUUAUGCAUCAGGAGGGACUCAACUUGGACGAACAAUAUCUACUUCAUUUGGAUCUAAUAAUGGAGUGUGCAAUGGCUGAUGUUGCAGGUGUAGAUCUACCACUUUACAUUGAGAGUGCCUUGCCUAUAACAACACCAGUGAAGCAAGGAGUUUUGGAAAAAUUAUACUUGGCCAUACUUGGAGAAAAUUGAGUGUUUUUUAGUGUACAUUUUAAAUUUAAAUUCAAUUCUUGAUUUCUUCAAUUUUAGGGUUCCCACAUUCGAGAUUUGGGUUUACACCAAGUCCCACCCAUAUUAAUUGUGCCUUGGAUACGAGGCAAUUUCAUUUUAUGACAUGAUUUUGUCGAUGGUUCAUUCGUUCUUCCAAUUGAUUCACGUCAUUUAACUGGAGGCAAGGCUUUUAAUGCACACUCCCCCAAUCGCAAGACCAUCGCCCAAGCAAGAGCGCCACAGCUAUGAUGGUGGGUAGCUUCUCCUUGAUCAAGUUUGCAUAAUCAAUCCCUUGUGGUUUCUAGGUUCGAAGCAAGAAUGCUGCACGCCUCAAUACCAGUAGACACUAUGCAGGAAACACCUCGUGAGCAUGCAACUAAGCACUUGAUGUUCCGCAAUCGGUACAGCUAACAAUCCUGCGAGACACAUGCCAACCACUUGAUUUUCCAAGCUCCACAACAAGGACAUCAACUCCAACAACAUCCCAUCCAUAGCUCUUGAUUGCAUUUGAGCAAGUAGAGUGCCACCUAACAUUGCAUACAUUGCAACAUAUGCAGAACCUCUAACAUGUUUCCUUCUCCUCACCUUCCUUGGAAAGUAGCAGCCCGAAUGUCCAAAAUGAGCAAGUCUGAAUACCUCAUGCCCACAGUGUUGUCCAAUCUAGAAUGUUGCCACCAACACCAAGUAUAAGACGUGCUCACGGAACCCCAUAUAGUGCCACUGCUACCAGCCCCACAACUCCACUAGCUGCUACUACUCUCGCAACUCCAUCUACUGGUACAAGUGUCAGUACUUGGCCAUCUACCUCCCGAAGCAACAAGCGGUCUAGCUCAGUAGGUUUGUCAUUUGUACCUAUCUUUUUUCCAUGUGUUGUUUUGCAUAGGGUGAGUUGACAAUGCCGCCACACUAGCAAGCUUAUAGUUCCUCAUCAGCAUUCCACAACUACUCCCAAGGAUCGACAUCAUCAUUUAGUGGAGCUUCAACAUCCAGAUAUAUUCAAGCUGAUGCUCAAGGUGGGCUGCCAUGUGAGCCACAAGUAUAACAUGACCCUAUGCACUCUUCAUUUCUUUUUUCUUUGGAUUUGUUUAACUCAUUUUCGUUUUAUUGUGCUAGACUCUCUCACCGCUUGUGGCUGUAGUGCACACCUAUACCGAUUACAAUCGGUAGUCCUUAUUUUGUCAUCGUGGACAUCGUGGCAGUCAAUCCAAAGUCAUUGGUGGGAUGUCACCUACGACACCCUUGGUCCCCCGCCCGUUCACCACAGUUCUUAUCACGAAGUGGAUUGCAAUCCCGAAAACUUUUUUGCACACUUGUAUGGGCAGAAAAGAUAGCCAUCUGUGAAAGUGACGGAACUUGACGAGCUGGCAGUGGACCUCCCAAAGUGUCUCAUAUGGGGUGGCUUAUACUCCAGUAUUCCUUUCCAGCCCAGCACGGCCCAACAUGCAAUUCUACUAUCACUCCAAGCCUCAAGAAUCCAACUGUGAGACACAAAAUCCCUAGGCCCCAAAGUGGAGCCGAAAGGGUGCCACGUGGUAGUGGCCAAAGUGAAAGCCAAAUGAACAUAACAUGUUUGGACUAAAAGCUCCGACUUGAAAGGUUGAGAGCGGGAGUGGAACUCCCAACGAAGUGUUCGAGGAACAAGCACAAAGCAAGCAAUGAGUGAGUCUCUAGAAAAGGGACACAAGAGGACCAACACAUGACACGUGGCAGAGUCCGAGAUGGAGUUCGAGACGGAGUCCGAGAUAGAGUCCGAGAUGGACCCGAGAUGGAGUUCGAGACAGAGUCCGAGAUGGAGUCCAAGAUGAAGUCCGAGAUGGACCCGAGAUGGAGUUCGAGACAAAGUCCGAGAUGGAGUCCGAGAUGAAGUCCGAGAUGGACUCGAGAUGGAGUUCGAGACAGAGUCCGAGAUGGAGUCCGAGAUGGACCCGAGAUGGAGUCCAAGAUGGACCGAGACGGAGUUUGAGAUGGAGUCCGAGAUGGACCCGAGAUGGAAUCCGAGAUGGAGUCCAAGAUGGACCCGAGAUGGAGUCCGAGAUGGAGUCCGAGAUGGACCGAGACGGAGUCUAAGAUGGAGUUCGAGAUGGAGUUUAAGAUGGACCCAAGAUGGAGACCGAGGUCGAGACUGAGACCGAGACCAAGACCGAGACUGAGACCGGGACCGAGACCAAGACCGGGGUUGAGACCGAGACCAAGAUCGGGACCGAGACCGAGACCGAGACCGAGGCCGAGGCCGAGACCAAGCCCGAGCCCGAGGAUGAGUCCGAGUCCGAGUUCGAGUCUGAGUCCGAGUCCGAGUCCGACUCUAAGUCCGAGUCUGAGUCCGAGUCCAAGUCUGAGUCCAAGUCUGAGAGGGUGAAAGCCCAAAGCGUUUGUCUCCCAAACCCUGGGGGGUUUGGUGAGCUCCAAAAGUAUAGUGAGGGGGAGAACUGCAGUGGAGCCAGUUUGGCCAAGAAAGGCUAGUUUGGCCCAGGAAGGCUGUACCCAGUGUUGGGUGGUGAGCUACCCACUAGAAAGUCCAAGACUAGGGUGAACAUGGACUGACAAGCAAGGUAACUUGGUGAAGUGUUCAAGAGUCGGCUCUAGUUCCCCUAGGAGAUCGACUGGCUGAUACUCCCAAUCCAAGUGUGGGUGGCACUACAUACUUGGAUACUUGGCAUGGCUCAACGGAACCUCGCUCUAAGCCCAUGGCUAGAGCACCCAAAGGCGGAAGGCGAGAAGAGUACCCACGAGGCUCGCGUAAGGCUACAGUGUUCCGAAAUGUUGCCCCAAAGUCCCAGACUGUGAAAAGGAAAAGGAGCCAUCUUUUAGUGUGGAAGUCAAGGAUACGGUUGUGUGAGGAAGAAGUCCCAGAGGACCGUAGGACUUAGUAGUCGAGCUUGUGGGCUUUGAUCCAAUGGCAAUGUUGGCGAACACGGCCAUGAACAAAAAGGGACAUGGUGGGGACUAGAAAAGGGGUAUUGGGGAAAGCUAAUCCCCAUGUCUGUGGGCAUCCUAAGGAUGCUAAGGAGUGGAUUUAGGAUGAUCACUCAUGGAUGGAUGGCCCAGUCCUUGAGAGACGGGACUGUGAUGCAAGUGGUGUUAGACCACCGGUGUGACCAAGGUGAAGGGGCAUGGCCUUAGCGUAACAGGUUGAUAAGUCAAUGGUACCUUGGGGUGUCGGUCAUGGGAUCAGACACAUGGAGCACUUGGACCAAGUGCAAAGGUUGAGUGGCGGGGAUGCUAUUCUUGGGGCUAGCAAACCCAAGUCCAAAAUAGGACUUAUGGAGGUUGUGAGUGAGAUUCCUCCAAGUGGUCAAAGGUGUGGUUAAGUGACUAAAGUAGAAUGGAAAAUUAAGUCGCUUACACCAACCUUCAUCCAUGACCAACCCAGAAGCAUUUGUCCAGCAUGCAAGGCAGUCCAAUGGUGGUGAGGCCCAUGCCGAGUUUGCAAAAUUUGGCCUCAGCUCUAUCCGGCCUUGCUAUUAGCCUCCUCAAACAUCAUGGGGAACUAUAACAAACAAGGCCAAUAGCAACCAGGUAACAAUAAUAUACCUAUACAAUAUUAUGGAGCAUUUUAUUGACAAACAUUAGCUAAGUUAUCAAAAACAGGCCCAAACAUUCGAGGAGAAGGAUGUUCGUGAACAUAAGUCAUUUUGUUUUUUAAGUUCCCUCCUCACAAAUAUAUGUUGUGGUCUUUGCAGUUGUAGCUACUACAAAUACCUUGACUGCAAAUGAUGAUCCAUUGGUGAUAGAGCCAUUUCUCCCAAGGCUAGCCAUGCAAGAACUAAACCAAGACGAGAAUAAUGAAGAAGAAGACUUUGUGGAUGAAGAGGACAUUCUUCCAUUACCGAAAGAUACUCUCCCCAUACAAGACAACAUCACUGGAGUCAAAGAAUAAGGUGAUAGUGGGGAUGAACCGCAUCAAAGAUCUCCGGAGAGAUCCUUGUCACCAGAGAUAGUGGCUCCAAGCCAUGUGGCUAGUAAAAAGCAUUAACAUAAAUGAAUAUUUUCUUCAUUUUCUAAUUUUUAAGUGCAGAUAAGCCAAUGGUAAUGUAUGACAGUGAUGGCGGAGGCUUUGAAGACCAUGGUGUGCUUCCACCCCCCUUUCUAGAGGGAAGUAGCUCCACUUCAUUUACUCUUAUGGAGUUGCUUGACAACUUUUCUAUAGUAGAGUAAGAUAAUUGAAAAUUAUGCCAUUCAAAAUUGAACUAACAUUUGCAUGUAGAUUGUUUGAGCGUCAACAACAAUAAAUUGAUGCUACUAAUGCAUUUAAUGAAGUUGUUCUAUUAACCACUCAAAAUAAUGACAACUUCAUCAUGCUGUAGCAUGAGGAGGUUUCUACCUUACAGAAUGCCACUACAGCCCUUGAGGCGAGGGCACAAGGGGAUGUUGAAGUUCUCUCACAAGUGUAGUGGCUGAAACACAAGCUUCUUAGUUAUUUUGGUGUGGAGAGCACAAGUGACAAAUAGAUGCUAGACGUUGUUGCUAGACACUCUAAGUUAUAUUGGGCUAGCGAUGAAAUAUUUCUUCAGCGUGUGCUUUUUCAACCAUGCCAUGCUUCAUUGGUAGGAUUGAGAGAGUGUUCUCCUUAAGCUUGGCCUUUCAGAAGCGCAGUACGAAGAUGUGUUUUGUGACAAUACAAUCCAACAACUCCUUGCUAAAGUAAGUAUCAAUGUGCCUUCUUCAAUUAUUGAGUCCACAAUAGUAUGGUUCAUUAAAAAGAGGUAUGUGUAUCUAUUUCUUAGCACUUAGUAACAUUUUAUUAUUUUGUGCAAGGACCUACGUAGAAAUUGGGUGGCUACACAACAAUUAAGAGAACUAUUUGACACUACUGAAACACUGUAUUGUAAGUUCUCUCGUUUUUGCAUCGAGAAAGCCAUCCUUUGGCCAUACAGACUUGCUCGUACACGUUUGAGGCCGUCUCACAUUCUGGUAAGCAAUGGAUUGCUUAUGAAUUGAAGUUCCCUCACUUGUCCUUCCAGAUUACACCAAACAAUGAAUUCAGUUGUUUCUAAUUCACCUUCAAUACUAAUCUCUGCACACUGAAUUAUAAAGUGGUCUAUGCAUUUGAGAUUGGAGGAGCUUUGGUGUGGGAGGAAUCCACAAUAGAUGCGGGUGGGCCACAUGCAAAAGCCAUUAAGAAGGCUGUUCACCAAAUUUCAGGAUCGGUAAGUUUAAUUUUCAUUUGGCUCACUAGAGUAACUUUGUGUUACAGAUGCAUGGACUGUUUAUGCUUAGGGAAGGAGCCACAUAUUGGCAUCCCAGGAUGCUAAUGCAUUUUAGGAUGUUAGGACAAGAAGAGCGAGAUGUGGUAAGUUAGGUUUAAAGCACAAGUUUUAUAUGCUCCUCAUUUCUAUAUGCACAGGCUAUCUUUGUGGGAUGGUUGCUAUUCCAAAUGUUCGAAUGUAAUGCACAGGUAUUUCGCAGGUGUACAAUUGCAAUAUUGGCAAUUGCAGCCCGAGAAGUUCCAGAUGAGAAUGAUUGAUGACUUGCCCAAGGAAGACUAUAUGAGAUGGACCUCAAGGCAUACGUGCCGUAUAUCUGGAAUGCACUUAACCAAUUGCGAGGUGCAUCAAGCCUAAAGGAGGAGGGCGAUGUGGAUUCCAUCUUAGAGAACCUUGCAUUUACUGACUACAACACAGUGCUUGAGUCUAGACUCACCGAACUUGGUGAAGGUUAUGAGCAAGUUGUGGAGGCAUGCGUGGCUGUGGUGGUCUGGCAUUACCUAUUCAUCGAGCCAAACGUAGUGGGAUAUUUACUCCGAGAUGGCUUCCAACACUCAAUGUGCAUGGAAGCUCGUCAGAGGCCUUACAAGGGUCUAGCAUUGUUAGGUGGGCUUUCACUCAUUGGGAGAGAUGCUUUGUUACAAGUCUUCCAGGUAAGGAUGAUCAUUCCUUCCAUGGAGUUCAUCAACUGCCUAAUCUUUGAUCAGGACUUUGGAGAGAACUUCCACAGCUGGAUUGUGGACAUCAUUCGAGGUAACUAUUUACUUUCAGAAACAACUAAAACUCUUGUAUGUUUGAACAUUUUAUAAAUAUGAGCCUGAAAGAGUUAUCCAAGUUCCAUCACUUUGUAGUUGAUUCUCUAGAGCUCCGACCGGGAGAGCCUAUUUGGAUCCACAUUGAGAGACAGGGUACAUCAUCUACUCAAUUUUCCAGGUUCUCCACAUGCACACGAGAAGUUUUCUUCCCUUUAACAUACUUGUUAAUGGAGUGGACCACAAGAUCCAUCGGGCACUCCAAAAUCUAGAGAGUUUGUACGGAUUGGGCUGAUGUUGUGGAAGUACCAUAAUCUAGACACUUUCACAAUAAAAAUAGAUAAUUAUUUUGAAAUAUGUUUCACACUUUUAAAGAGACUCUUUCUAGUUCAUUGGCGAAGUUAAAGGUAAGAAUAUUUAAAAUAUUCCAUAAAUGCCCAUUAUAGGCACUUGCGGCCCUUUUGGCUUAUGCUUGCCUCACCAAAGGUAAUCACUAUAGCUUCCAAAGUAGCUCCUUGUUUAGGAUUUGGGUCAAAAUUAUUGAGUUUGGGUGCUACAUGAUGCCCAUCCUCGCUUGAGGAACUCUCAACCUAUUUCAUAGUAGAAUCAAAAUCACCCUCUGGGUCUGUGAACUUGUCCUUGCUUGCAUCUCGAGAAGUAACAUAUCCCUUGCUGUCACUUUCUUCAGCAAGACUUUUCCCCUCGGUGACUGGCACAACAUUAAAAGUAGUCUUGGGCUGCCUUGUUAGAGGGAUUAUCAAGUCUUGAGAAGAGGAGGCAUCAUAUAGAAUCCUUAGUCCUGUCCUUUGUUGGAUCCAUUAUUGUGCCUCAAAAGAAGUCAUAGAAUCCUCUCCAAUUUGCCAUGUCAGGAGGAAACCCAAAAACCUCAAACAUUACAAAAGGGUUAGAGUAUAUAGAAAACUGUCACAAAUUUACUUUUACCAAAGUGAGCAUGAGCUUCCAAUCUCUGAAAAAUCCAAUUCUUCAACCGUAGCGUGUAGCAUACAUUGGAUAGUUUUGCCCCAUGCUUGGAAACCCUUUUUACAAAUUUCAAAAUUUGAAAUGAUUAUGAUUGGAAAAUAUUGUAAGUGUCCAUUGUUAUUGCUCUUCUCACCUAAAUGUUACCACAUGCAAUUGCAACUUUCAUAUUCUCAAAUCUCCUUUAGCAUGCUCCUCUUAAGAGAACUCUAAGUCCAAUUUGAAACAAUUAUAAUUGGAAAAUGUUGAAAGUGUCUUAUGUUAUCCUAAAUGUUACUACAUGCAAUUGCAACUUCCACAUUCUCAAAUCUCCUUCAACAUGCUCCUGUUGAGAGAACUUCAGGUCCAAACAUUAACACUAUGCACCUUUGUGUAGUAUACAAUUGAAGUAUGAGCCCCACCAAUUCAUCGAAUUGCUUAAACUUCAAUCUACUUUUGAGUCAUAUGCAAAUCUUUUAAGCAUCAUGGUACAAAACUAAAGUGUUAAGAGAGUUACAUUGGAAAUCAAUGGCAACGAAAGAUAAACUCAAUGAGAUGCAUUAAAGACAUAACUCCAGACAAUAUAUAUCCAUGGCUUUCCAAUCUUUCAAAUCUUUCCUUCUUUCAAAUCAACUUGGAAAGAUUGGAAACUCCAUCUUCCAGAUCCUUAGCCUAGAUGGAGUUCACUUACACUUGCUAUGAACACUAUGUUAAAAGAGGUGUGCCAAAAAAGGAUAAUUUAGUUCUUUUGCCAUGAGUGCCAAGAGCAAGAUGUGAGAACAUAGUGCUCUAGAUAGGGUAGUAUGGUAUGCAAUUUAGUCAAUUGUCUAUUUAGUUUGCAACAUUAACAAUUUGCUAGAAUGCAUGGGAUGAAUGGGUCUAUGGGCCAUGAAUGGCUCCAUUCCAUAGCAUGGGUCAUUGCUAUGGGCAUUAUGCCACAUCUGGGGCAUAAGGAUUGGAUAUUCCUAAAAUUUGUUUUUUUCACACUCAUAAUACAUGUGACCAAUAGCAGGCAUACACGUGGUGUGAGUGAAAUCCACCGUUGUAAAAUCCUUUUUUACAAAUUGCACACCAUACAAACAAAAUUGUGGUUAAGUUUUCACUUUUUGUCUCUUGUGUUUAUAAUUGAGUUAGUGGUCUAAACCACCGGAUGAAGAUCGUGCGGUCACUGACGAUUCUAGGGCGCCACUGUCGGGUUUCACGAUAGGGCGCUCUUGAUCGCUCUCCGGAUCAUCGAUUCCAGCGCGCAGCGGUGAGGGUUUCAACUAACGAAAUGGACGAGGAAUUGGCCAAGGUGCAGGCUGAAAUCGAGCGUCUUGAGCCGCAGAUCCAAGCGGCUGGGGGAUCUUUUCUCUCUGCCUUUGAGAGUGGCAAUCAAUUUCUGGCGGAAUAUUGGCAGAAGGAGGAAGAGCAGCUGCGGAAGGAAAAACAGCAGCUGCGGAAGAAAAAAUUACAGCUGCGGAAGAAUGAACUCCUCCUCCUCCAAUGUAAUGGUAAGUCAUUCUUUGUGUAUUUAGCUUUCCCCCUCGAUUUGGGGCGUUUUGCUGUGUGUGUGGUUCCAUGUGGCUAUGGCUGCUUUCGGCCAUGGUUAAGGAUUUUGCCAGAGGUAGCUUCAAUUCGCUUUUAUUUUGGGUUGCUGGAAGUGUGGCUAUGGUGGCUUUUGGCUAUGCUGCCGGUGGACGCAUGCUCCCUUGUGGAUCCUUGGUCGUCCUUGUAUGGCUAUGGCUGUUGAGACCCUGGUUUUUUCUUCUAGAUCUAAUACUAACUUUGUUUUGUUCUGAAUGUUGCAGUGCGCGGGUAAGCAAUUGGGAAAGCCCUUCGUUUCCUUUCACAUGCAUCCCCAUUUUCUGUCCAGUUCUUGGUAUUCCAUUUGUCCAGUUCUGGAUGCUACUUUAAUGCUGUCUGUCUAGUAAUAGUUGGGUGUCUUCUCUUUGGGAUGACUGGUAUGUUUUUCGGCCUGACACUAGAGUUUGCUCAGUUCUGCUCACAAGUCUGUGCAUUCCUCCCCCUUGUUUGCUUUUCAUAUGUUUACUUGGUCAUUCCGCGAUGCCUUUUCUUUCAAAUUUCGUCGCUGCUAAUCUGGUAGCCCUCUCUGUCGAGUACCCCUUCGCCUCUCAGAUCUGUGUUGCGAAAUCCCUGACCAUAACCACACAUGGAAGAGAUGACUAACCGAGUUCUCCUCUCCCGCAGCAGCCUCUCUUUCACCCGGAGCAGCAGCAACUCUUAAUCCCGGAGCGGCUGCUUUGCUUUCCCUGUCUGGUCAUGGUUAAGGAUUUUUGCUUCCUGAAUCUGUUUCUUUCUUUCUGUGUGGAUAUCUGGUAAUCUCGGUCAUUCUCACCCCUGUUUGCCCUUUGGCUGUGUUUAAUUCUGUGGCCAUUCCUCCAUAAACUUCGUUGUGCCUCUCACAGCACCAGCGCCACCACCAGCGGGACUUCGUCCAGCCGAGAUUGACGUGCCUGGUAUGAAUGAUGUCUAGGGGACUGAAAGCCGUAAUUUUUUGUGUCAGACAAGAUCGCCUGGGCCAAGAAGCUGAACGAGAAUCUGACCGGACACUGACUGGACAAGCCAUGCGACUUUUCGGGAGCUCCAUACUCCCGCUUUCUCUGGAAUGGAGUAAAACAUACAUGUACAUGGGUCGCUCACUCUUACGGAGAUAAAAAGUUUCGUAUUGACCUUGAGACACGGCACUGACAACCUUCCUGGAACUCUGGGCUCUGGGAAGACCACUGCUCUUGCUACUGUGGCUGGAUAUCUUCUGCAACUUUGGAAGAACACCUCCAAGAAGGUCGUCUUUAUCAAUGACGAAUGUUUCAUUGACAAUCCCUCGAGGACAAUUGUGGGUGGCUCUUUUGCUGAGCUACAUAGACGACUUUCCAGCCGAGCUUUCAUGCCGGGGGAUGGACCUUGAAAGUAUUAGAAUUUUGGAUCCUGAUGCUGCAGAUAAAUGAAGUGAGUGUUGUGGAAGAUUUCAAUCCUUGUCCCCCUCAGGAUUUUCCAGAACUUGCUUAGCCAGAACAUCUUUCAGGUACACUGGUUUCUUGCUCUCCUUCAAAGCCUUCUCUUCCUUUAUUAUCGGAAAACUUCACCUUUGGCUUGUACAUAUGCUGGGAUCCUUCUUCUUGAUCUUGGCUAGCAUCUCUAAAAUUAGUAUCUUUGCAGCACUCCAUCCUCCAGUCUUCCUCAUUUGAUGGCAAAUACAAGCCUACACUUUUUAAGCAAUGUCAAUUUUGGCCUUUGCUUGAGGAUAAUAAUUCAAAGUUGAAGAGAUUAGAAUACUCUUUUUUGAGCUAGUCAAUUGCUAUAAUAUAAAAACUGUUGGAGGGGUUUGAGAAAUAAAAGAGCAAAAUAAAAAUAUUGAAUAGAAACAUUUAUUGGAAGACCAAAGUGAUGGGAAGUAAAUGUAAAAAGAAAUAAAAUAAAAAUAAAGGGAAGGAAAAAAAAUUAAAAAGUUAUGAAACAAAAAGGAAAAGUCUCAAAUAUGCAAUCCUAAAAACCAUUUGCAAUAAUAAAAGCUCAAACUCAAGAAUGCUUACACUCACCACAUAUAUGCAUUUGUAUAAUUGUUGCUAUAGAAAAUGAAAACUAAUUUUGUUGUUAAUAUAGAUGAUUUUGCCACACAAUGGCAAUGUGUAACAACAAACCAGGCAAUAAAAAAUAAACCCACAAACCUUUAUCAACUUUUAUCAUUUUUUCAUUCCAAACACCACACACCUCAUAAACCAGAAUCUACUACUAUAAGGAGCAAACGCCAAACUUUGUGGGCCGCCGGAUCCAGCCAAUCGGGGCCAUCCGAUGGGGGGUAACUGUAAAGGGGUUAUUUCUUUAACCACGUGUUAGCGAAUAAUCGCGCUGAUGUUUGCCCCCGGCCAAUGGGAGGCGGCCAAGCCAUGUGGGGCGGGAGAGGAAGGCCCAGCGACGCAUGGCACAUGCAAAGUGUUGACCGGAGAUUGCUGCUCCAGGGCGUCACUCCGGGCAGGAUCAAGUGGGUCGUGGCCCUUGGAGCGUGCUGUGGAUCGCGAUUUCUUCCGGUGGGUAAGCAAAUCCACUCCCAAAUGGUUGCUGCUGGCUGGGAUUCGAGCUUGAUCCUGUCUACUGCGCUGAUUGACAUGUAUGCCACGUGUGGCAGUGUAGUGCACGUGGUUUUGACCCUUUAUCCUAUGGUGAUUUACCAUAGGAUAACACCACGAAGCGGAACCUAAACCCUCUUUGUGCCACGUGACAGAUGCCACGUGUCACAUGCCACGUGUCCAUGCCAUGUGUCCAUAGGAACCCGAAGUUCAAGGCCUUGGGCCAUUGAACGAAGGAACGGUGCCAAACUCCCAAGCAUGGAGCCAAGGAGUGACGGAACCGAACCACGGAGCAACUCCCGAGCAUAAAGCCCAAGGAGUGAAGGGACAGGAGCCCGGAGUGACUUGGAACAGUCCUGGAGCAACUAGCAUCCCAAUGCCAGGACCAGCACACAAAACGGAGCCAAACGGAGUCUGGCGCUAUUUCGGCAUACCGGUGGCCUAACGCGAGGAUAUGGGUACUCCACCAACUAGCAUGGAAUGGAACUUGGGCUUAGACCCAAGCCGGACGCAAAACAAGGACAGGCACGCAAGCGGGAGCUAGACUAUGCCUCAGGUUGGUCGGCCAUGCCCGACCUACCCACUAUCCCUACUAUACAUUUGGAACCCCCCACAGCCCCCCCCCCCCUUGAGGAACACACGCUUUGGGCUUUCACCCCAAGCCUCCCUUAGUAUCAGGAGUUAGUCUCUGGGACAAGCUCGAAACUUACUAAAUAUGGAAUGUCCUUAGAUUGCGAAUUUGGACACGGGACGAACACCAUUGUGUUCAGGCCGAUCUCUACAUUCCGUAGAUAUGCCAAAUGAGCAAAUCUGGACACUUUCCAUAAAUAGCAUUUGGGACCGAAAUGAGACUAACACAAAGGGCAUGAUAGCGAGGGUGUUUGGCAGACACGGUAAGCUAUCAUCCAGCAAUAUUGAGGGACCAAUCUCAAUACGCGAGGGUUCUUGUCAAGCCAGUGCAAGACAGAGCAAAAGAGAACUAACAAGCCGGGCCAAGUAUGCUCAGCUAAAUAGACACUUAGGAAUUCCUUCCUUAUGCUCAUCCGGCCAAGUACAGAUGCAAAGUCUAGUUUACUAACACUUGAACAAGAGGGGCCAAUAAAGGGAACCAGCAGUACCGACCUCCUGCCAUCGUGGCAGUAAGGUAAGAGUGUCCGUAAGGACUAGUCGACAGGUAACUUUCGAUACCCGAAGUCACAUGCGCGACACUCUCCCCCCCUAGGGAAGAUCGACGUCCUCGUCGAUGCAUACUCGAGUCUAGAAUACCGCCAAGGAAACAACUCCAGAAAAAGUUCACGGUACUCACACUAUGUGAGAAAUGCACCAACUUAAAUGAGUUAGGGGGCAACCUCUUUGUCUAACGCGGAUGCGCUACCAGCUCAGACACCUUUCAGCCGUCGCCGACAAGGAAAUGACCAACGGAGUUAGCCACCCUUGCUGCUCUGGGAGUCACCCAGCUUACAAAAGUGUGAUAUGCCCUGCCCGCAGGAACAUAGAGAGAGAAGCCAGAAGCCCCAACCCUCCUAAGCAAAGAAACCAAACCCGUCGGUAAGGUUUAGAUAGACUACUGUAAACAGGCAGUUAGAGUUGUUUACACGGUCACGCCCUUUUAACGGAAUAAGGAACAUCGACAGAGAGGCGGGUUAUGUGACUAGUCUACAGUAGCUACCCCAUGACUAGAGAUUUCAACAUGCACACGAAGUGCCGAAGCCAGUCCGCCUAUACUAGCCCAAACUCAAAGAUCAAUAGAUGGACAAUAUCAAAGUCAGAGACAAUGAUAUUUUAGAAGGUUAAUUAUCAGUGAUUAUAUCUUAGAGUAGAACACAAAAGUAUUCUAAGCAAGUUAUCAUCCGAUAAACCAAUAGUAUUGUACAGGAACCACCAAGAUCAUCAUAAUUGGUAAAUAUAGGAUUCACCAUCAAACAAAAUUCAAUAGCAAGUAUAUCAUCAAGUAAACUCAAUGAUAAAGUUUAACUAUUAAAGAUUGCAGAUAGAAUACUAAACAACUUACGAAAGACAACUCAAAGAACACAAAGUAUCAUUGACUGAUAAGCAAAAUGCUCGCGAAUGUAUCACCCAAAGGAAAUAACAUCCAAAUCUAUCAAAACUAACUUGAGCAACAAUCAACAGAAGAGAAUGAAUGUGGUAAGACCAACAAACACUCAUUCCUGCCAACUAUCACAAAAACUAAUCUGAAUAGAUCCCAGCCAACAAUACCAAGGAACUCAAGUUGCCUAAGCAAGUGUCAGCAACAUCCUACUAAUGUCUCAAACCCAAGAGACCAAUCCAAAGCAAAUCACAAAGAACAUGUGAUAUUGCGAAAAGCCACAAGCCAUCAAAGAGAACAACUAACAAUCAUGAAAGAUCAUCAAUCAUCCCAUCAAUAAAGAGAUGCAUAAUCAUCGUCUAAGAAAGAAUCCACUACCUCAAAGAGCAACGAAUCAUUCUAUAUCAACAACAACCAAGCAAAACCCUUGACAAGGAUAAUCAACUAUCUUAGAUGAUAAUUAAUCAUCACCAAUGAUUGCCAGAUGCAAAUACUAACGUCAACAUCGAAGCUAAUGAGCCAAAAUGCCUUCCCCAACAACUUCGAACAAAUGGAACAACGAUCAUAAAACUCAAAGAACCAAAAGCUCGAAGAAGUCUAUAGCUAAGUCUUGCCUAAUAAUGAUCACAAGCUUUGCAUAAACUAACUUCAAUGCUAAAGAAGAAAUCAUGGUACAACCCACAAUAUCCUCCUCAACACAUCCAUAAGCUAAACUUCAUAAUGCAAAGCUAAUGAAGAGCAUGUCUGCAUCAAUCCAAAAGCUAAGCAUAACAAAGCUAUGCUUAACAAGUGAUCAUCAAACGAUCCUCCAUGAAUCCAUCUAUAGCAAGACGUAACUCACAUCAUAACAAGCACAAGAAGAAUCAUCAAUGAUCGAUAUAUUCCAACUCAAAUCCAAUAAGGAUUCAAACAUUCUAAUAUCAAUCACUAACUCUUCCGCUUGUAGAGUUAGCAUAGUUCACGACUGAAUCACUUUUCAAGGAAAAGCUCAAAGCUCAACCCCUACUAAAUAAUCUCGUUUAGAACACAACUAACUCAAACUUGCCACUCAGUUCAUUUGAACGUCAACAUAGUUGCUAAUUAGCAAAUGCACGAAUGCUAAUAACACAAAGCUAUAGCCAAAUCAUCGACACUAUCUUCAUCAAAACUAAUGAAACUCGACAUCAAUCUUGCGGAGAGACAUCUCAUUUCACUAAAAUCUUAACAUCAACAAUGUCAACAACAAGGCAUCACUUCAAUGCCAUCAACACUAGAACAAAGCGAGAAGAAAGCACGAGUGUAUCACCACUCAAAACUCUCUAGCAACUAAGCUAACCAAGGUCGAAGAUACUUUACUCGAGUAUCCGAGACUAAUUCUUCAACAAUACUCAGUUACAGAUAACACUUCAUCAAGGAGUGAAUCACCACAUCCAAGACUCCAUGAAAUCCAACACUAUGAACUAAACGCAACCAAAUGAUAUCAACAGAGGUAGAGUCGAUAUGCCAACAUGGAAAACCCACGUAAGUCUAACAACACAAUCCUCCGCAACCCCAUUCGGUAAAGCAAGCCCAUCACUGCUAAAUCAUCAUCGAGUGAAGCAAGUGUCAAUAGUCUUUUGACAAAGUCUACAAGCAAUCAUUAGUCGCAAAGCAACUAACAAUCACUCUUUCAACUUGCCUUCACAAGACCAAAACACUAAACUCAUGUCAUCGAGUCAUACACUUGUCCAACAUGAACACGAUACCUCCGGUAUGAGAUAAAAGUUCAUAGACAAGCACAAACCAAAUGACCACUCAAAUCCAACUCAACCACGAUAAGCUCACCAAAGCAUUUAGCCAUUAGCUCUGAGCAUGCCUUGAAGAGGCUAGCUAAGCAUGAUCAACACUUAGUCGAAACUAAAGUGAAGACCAUGAGAUGGACUUAUAUCGGUACACAACCUCCUUAUAGACAAAGCUAUAGUACGGGUACCAACAUCUCAAACUCAAACAACUAAGUUGGACAUCACCAUUCUCAGCCAAGGCGCAAGGCCACCAAGACUAAGUCAAGAUCAGUGAGAGCUCACUACUCUCAUAGAGUCUAACAAAAUGCAAAGUGCAACCUACCACCAAGCAUAACGCUACAAAAGAAAGGCACAAGGGUCACCUUUCUGGAAAAGUGCAACGGCCACUUUUCUACACUAACUCCAGACUCUAUCCAACUCAAUUGCCUUAGCCCUAAAAGUUAGCAUCCCUUUCGGGUCGCAUCAUACAAACUACUUACUAAGAUCUAAGCCAACCGAAGUCAACUCCAACCCCUUCACUAGUUUGUAUUGGCUUUUGAAAAUGGAAUGGUUUUCGAGCAAAGUGAUAACAGAUCAGCCAUUGGAAAAGUCUAAGAAAAUUUGUGGAAAAAAAAAUCUUCCAAUCCUAGAAAAAGAAUGACUCUCAGUCUAGGAAUUCAAAUUUUCAAAACUCAACCAACUUCCUCCUACUUACAACUUCACAUAGGUUCACCUCAACACAAAUUCUCAUGACCUAUAGUAUGCUUAAGCCUCGAACAUCUUUCUGCCCAUUUUUCCAAUAUCCAACACCGACAUCCGUAAAAUGCAAAGUGAACAUCCAAGGCUUGAUCACGAAGACCACAUCUUCGGAUAUCCACAUUGCACUAACACUCUUCUUCAACCACCUUCAAGAUCCAAUGUGAAGCUAAAACACUAACAAGAAAAAUGACAUAGAAAAUCAAGCUCUAAGGAAAAUCCUCACCACUUGAAAUAACAAUGCCACUUCCACUAACACAAGUGUUAGCGAUGUCAAUGCCUCAACUACACACCUUCUCCAUCCAACAAUCUACUCCAAGUGUUAACGAAUCAACUUAUGAGCUAUAGCAAAUGAAUGCUACAACCCUUUCCAACACCUUAUGGGCAAACCCUCAAGGAAACAAGGAACCAACUUAAGCUUAGCAUAAUGGACCAUCAUCGAGAAUCCAGUCAAAGCUACUACAAUGCUACUUUGUGCAAGUAGACUAGCUUCACCAUCAACCACUUUGGGGUUGAUCAUCAUUUAACCAGCAACUUCGUAAACACAUUGCUCAUUAUCACAUGGAUAUGAUAUAGAAAUCACAAUGACUUGAUCAUCAAUUGAGCAACACCACGAACAAUGCCAAUGUCAUUACUUCAAAGGUUUACAUGAAUAUCAAGUGCCAACUCAACUUGACAGAAUGCAACAUAAAUGCCACACUCUACCGAUAGAGAUUUACAACACCCAAUACCACUAACUUUUGUUCACAACACAGACAAGCUCAUGCCCCUCACUAUCCGAUCAAAAACUCAAGACUUAACCCAACACCAAGCUACUCAAGGAGCAAUAGCUAGGUUCCCCGGAAAAGAAUUGAGCAUUGUAACCCAAGUCUUCCAAUAGCGAGCUUAGACAAAAUGGUUUAACGCUUCACCGCUAUCCAUCCCAUAACUCACCAUUUGUAAGACCAUCAUAAUCAACAUGCAUCAAGAUAGGGACUCUUGAUUGCAUAAUGUGAAUACGAGCAAUGAGUCAACACCUCGUUGCAAAUCAUCUCUCCAAGAAGAAAAGAUGAUUUACGUGUUUGAUCCUCCGUCCCCGAUGACUCUCUUUUCGGUCUCAUCUUUGACCAAACCUCAAGCUUGCUUUCACACUGCCUUCAGUCCAAUCCAAGAAAAGUUUAUGAGAGAGCACAACAAUGAUUACUUGAACCAAUAGACUAACCCCUACAGUCUUAGUUGAUCCACUUGUAAUCAUGCCUAGGAAAGAUCUACUAGUGUCGUGCUAAACAGCUACGGACCAGCCUAUUUGCCACUCAUAGCAAACCCAGGGAAAGUUUGCUUUCACCCAUGGUACAUAGAACAACUUAUGGAACUACCGAUAGGCUAACAUUAAUCCUGCCAACUCAAAGUUUAAUCUCGAGUUGCUAAUGUGCCUCACUCGCGAGCCCAAGCAUAAACUCGUGCUAACGGAGCAUCUCAAAUCCAUCCUAUGAGCCCAAGAGCAAGCUCACAUUGUUAGGUACAAAAGGUAACCAAAACCAUACCCAAGGAACGAACGUGAACCCCUUGCACCAAACGUGUACUCAAUCGGACCAUCGUUUUCAUCUCUGCGUAUGCAACGAGACUAGUUGCCCAAUCUCAUUGUAUAGUACUCGCUGAGACUUACUCUCUGAUACCAAAUGUAGCGCACGUGGUUUUGACCCUUUAUCCUAUGGUGAUUUACCAUAGGAUAACACCACGAAGCGGAACCUAAACCCUCUUUGUGCCACGUGACAGAUGCCACGUGUCACAUGCCACGUGUCCAUGCCAUGUGUCCAUAGGAACCCGAAGUUCAAGGCCUUGGGCCAUUGAACGAAGGAACGGUGCCAAACUCCCAAGCAUGGAGCCAAGGAGUGACGGAACCGAACCACGGAGCAACUCCCGAGCAUAAAGCCCAAGGAGUGAAGGGACAGGAGCCCGGAGUGACUUGGAACAGUCCUGGAGCAACCAGCAUCCCAAUGCCAGGACCAGCACACAAAACGGAGCCAAACGGAGUCUGGCGCUAUUUCGGCAUACCGGUGGCCUAACGCGAGGAUAUGGGUACUCCACCAACUAGCAUGGAAUGGAACUUGGGCUUAGACCCAAGCCGGACGCAAAACAAGGACAGGCACGCAAGCGGGAGCUAGACUAUGCCUCAGGUUGGUCGGCCAUGCCCGACCUACCCACUAUCCCUACUAUACAUUUGGAACCCCCCACAGCCCCCCCCCCCUUGAGGAACACACGCUUUGGGCUUUCACCCCAAGCCUCCCUUAGUAUCAGGAGUUAGUCUCUGGGACAAGCUCGAAACUUACUAAAUAUGGAAUGUCCUUAGAUUGCGAAUUUGGACACGGGACGAACACCAUUGUGUUCAGGCCGAUCUCUACAUUCCGUAGAUAUGCCAAAUGAGCAAAUCUGGACACUUUCCAUAAAUAGCAUUUGGGACCAAAAUGAGACUAACACAAAGGGCAUGAUAGCGAGGGUGUUUGGCAGACACGGUAAGCUAUCAUCCAGCGAUAUUGAGGGACCAAUCUCAAUACGCGAGGGUUCUUGUCAAGCCAGUGCAAGACAGAGCAAAAGAGAACUAACAAGCCGGGCCAAGUAUGCUCAGCUAAAUAGACACUUAGGAAUUCCUUCCUUAUGCUCAUCCGGCCAAGUACAGAUGCAAAGUCUAGUUUACUAACACUUGAACAAGAGGGGCCAAUAAAGGGAACCAGCAGUACCGACCUCCUGCCAUCGUGGCAGUAAGGUAAGAGUGUCCGUAAGGACUAGUCGACAGGUAACUUUCGAUACCCGAAGUCACAUGCGCGACAGGCAGCUUGCGAGGCGAUGAAGACAGUAGUAGCAGGAUUUUGCUCCUGGAAGAAUUGUUUGUGGCCUGUGACAGGCAUUACGAAUGACAGCAGGGAUCCCUGUGCCGACACCUUUCGCACAGCAACACUGCCAAUGCUUAGGCACUUUGGUGUUCCAGUCGAAGGCCUAGAACUCAAGGUUGUUGCCCGCGGAGCUCCUCCCUUGGGUGGCGGUGAGGCUGUCCUCAAAGUUCCCAUUGUCCCCAAGAGCCUCACGGUCAGUUUCUCCAAACUCCUCUUCUUUUCUUUCUCUCCUCGCUAAGAAUCCUUCGCCAGGCUGCUACAUGGGUGGACAAGGGCAUGGUGAAACGUAUCCGAGGAGUGAGUUACUUCACACCCGUCUCACCUCAUAUGGCCAAUCGAAUGUGGUGUGCUAAAGCGCUUGCUCCCCGACAUGUACAUCUUUACUGAUCACUACACUGGUUCGGAUUCCGGGAAGUAAGUUCCAUGAUUUUGUGCUGCAAGGUAAACGUUUUUCAUCUUGCUUCCUUUGUCAUGGCACAGAUCUCCGGGCUAUGGAAUCUCACUGGUGGCAGAAAUGACCACCGGCUGCAUUUUAAGCUCCGAGUGCGUGGCUACGCAUUCUGGAGCAUCCGAGCUCCAGCUUCCAGAGGACCUGGGGAUGCAAGCAGCCAUGUCCUUGCUACAGGAGAUAAAAGUUGGGAGGAGUUGUAGAUUCAACUCACCAGGUAUCUAUCUGUGAAGCUGGAAAGGAAAGAAGUCGAUCUCACAAACUUUCCUGUUUGCCAUACAGGGGUUGCUGUUCCCGACCAUCAAAGAAUUUCUGGGAGUGCAGUUUGGUAUCAAGCCUGACCCAAAUCAGUUACAUGGAACUUUUUCUAGAAGCCAUCGGUCUUUUCCAGCAGCAGCGCAUCCACUCUCCUUGAUGUGCACAGCGAUUCAAGCUGCGGCCUCAAACUCCAGCCAGCCAUCCACGACGAUCAUCUGCCUCUCAUCGUCAUCAUCUGCUGAUGCUCCCACUGAAGAUAAGAAGCUGGAAUACACUUUGGACGCAUUCACUAUGUCCGUCACUACCAGCUGGGGGCUCUUGAAGUCCGGAUGGCGGUGAGCUCCCGGAGGAACUUGAGCAUGCAGCUGAAGAUCGAGAACAUUUUCCCAUUAGAUGUCUCCCGCAUCAAACGUUGAUGUCUUUUAGUGACUCAAGAACAGCAUGAGGCAUGGGCAUUUUAGACACAAUUGGUGGAAAAAGCAUCUUAACCUGCAAAGAAUUCCAAUGAAACCAGUUCCAGUUAAUAAGGAGACACUUUGUAUCUCCCGAACUAUUUUUUGCUGUAUAUCCUGAUGAAAAUGGGAGUAAGAGGUGUGAGAAAAAUUCCAAGUUGAACUAACUCACAGUGAAACCCUGCCUUCCCCCCCACCGCAAUAUAGACUGUAGUUCAAAGUUCGUUACUUGAGAACAAAGAGUGAAAAAUAAGUCAUGAUGAGAACUCCCCAAAUCUCAUGAACUGCACAAAUCUAACUUAAUUUUUCACAGGCAUUUUGCACAGGCAUCUGCCUAUCCUCACUCAAAAGUAGUCACUUUACUUUUAGACCACAUUAGAUCAGAAGUGCAAAAGAUCAAAAUGUUGAAACCAUAUUAGAAGUAAAAAGUAAGGUUUAUUACUAGAUGAUUAAGGUUUCUCUCAAACAGACAUCAUUUUUUGGCUAAAUCACAACUGUGGGGGUAUUUAACAAUAAAAGUAUAUAUUAUAUUUUUAUAUGUAGCUUUAGUUAUUUAUAAUUAUCAGAAAAACUACGAUAAUGUAUGUAGUAUUUGAUUAAACAUUAAUAUUUUAAAAUAUUUUUACUAAUUUAUUAGUAUAUAAUACUAUGGAAUAUAAGAUUUGAAUUUAUUAUAUAUAUAUAUAUAUAUAUAUACAAAUAAUUAUUUUUUGAUUGGAUCUGGGUAGCAAUAUAUUAAUGUUUCUAAAAACUUAUUGUUUUAUAUUUUGAGUAAAACUUAUAAUUAAUUAAUGUCCUGCAGUAAUUAUUCUCUUUUAUUUGUUUUUACUUUUUUAUUUGUCAAUUUGUUUCUAAAUAUAUUCAUAUUUCCAAAUAAUAAUUUGUAUAUAAUAUUUUUAUGAAUGAAUAUUUUAUCUUACUUAUGCCUAAGAAUAUAUUUUGUUCUAAAUAGUUAUAUUAUCAAGUUUAAAAAAUUUAGCUUUUUAUUCAUCUAACAUUUUCUAGGCAUAAUUCUCUCAAUCAAAGUGGAAUAUAAUAUUUGUUGUUUUAAUACUAUUCUAAUUUAGUUUUUAAUAUAUUAAAAAAUCAAAACAGUAUUUUGCUAAUUACACAGCAUAUGCUGGGCAAGUGCUAGUUCUGCAAUAAAGAAAUUCAUUGCUAAGAGGAUAAAGAUAACACCUAGUGAUUAAAGCACUAUGCCUCUGAUACCAUGUGAAGAGAAGCUAGCCUCUCCACCUAAAACUCUAAAAAAAGAGAGCAGCUCUCACAAAAUAGGAAAAACAGCUAAGAAGCUUAAAUUGAAGGAAUGUGACUCAAGCCACUUGACUUGACUCUAACAGUGGUAAGACAGGAUGGCAUUAAUGGCUGCCACAUUCUCUACUUUGGUGGCAGGAAGACCCUUUACUCCAGAGAUACAUACCACUUAAACAAACAAAAUUGUGGCUAAUGUCUCUUGUGUUUAUAAUUGAGUUAGUGGUCUAAACCACCGGGCCGUCGGAUGAAGAUCGUGCGGUCCCUGACGAUUCUAGGGCGCCACUGAGCUCUCCGGAUCAUCGAUCCCAGCGCGCGGCGGCGAGGAUUUCAACUAACGAAAUGGACGAGGAAUUGGCUAACGUGCAGGCUCAAAUCGGACGUCUUGAGCCGCAGAUCGAAGCGGCUGGGGAAUCUUUUCUCUUUGCCUUUGAGAGUGGCAAUCAAUUUCUGGCGGAAUAUUGGCAGAAGAAGGAAGAGCAGCUGCGGAAGAAAAAAUUACAGCUGUGGAAGGAGGAACUCCUCCUCCUCAAAUCUAAUUGUAAGUCAUUCUUUGUGUAUUUCGAUUUGGGGCGUUUUGCUGUGUGUUGUGGAUUAUGUGUGGUUCCAUUGGCUGCUUUCGGCCAUGGUUAAAGAGGUAGCUUCAGUUCGCUUUUAUUUUGGGUUGCUGGGAGUGUGGCUAUGGUGGCUUUUGGCUAUGCUGCCGGUGGACGCAUGCUCCCUUGUGCAUCCUUGGUCGUCCUUGUAUGGCUAUGGCUGUUGAGACCCUGGUUUUUUCUUCUAGAUCUAAUACUAACUUUGUUUUGUUCUGAAUGUUGCAGUGCGCGGAUCUGGUAAGCAAUUGCGAAAGCCCUUUGUUUCCUUGCACAUGCAUCCCCAUUUUCUGUCCAGUUCUUGGUAUUCCAUUUGUCCAGUUCUGGAUGCUACUUUAAUGCUGUCUGUCUAGUAAUAGUUGGGUGUCUUCUCUUUGGGAUGACUGGUAUGCUUUUCGGCCUGACACUAGAGUUUGCUCAGUUCUGCUCACAAGUCUGUGCGUUCCUCCAAAGCCCCCUUGUUUGCUUUUCAUGUCUGUCUUGUGUUUUACUUGGUCAUUCCCCGAUGCCUUUUCUUUCAAAUUUCGUCGCUGCUGCCCUCUCUGUCGAGACCCCUUAACCUCUCAGAUCUGUGUUGCGAAAUCCCUGACCAUAACCACACAUGGAAGAGAUGACUAAGGAUCCCUUUCUCCUCUCCCGCAGCAGCCUCUCUGUCACCCGGAGCAGCAGCAACUCUUUAUCCCGGAGCGGCUCCACUGUCCUGCUUUGCUUUCCCUGUCUGGUCACGGUUAAGGAUUUUUGCUUCCUGAAUCUGUUUCUUUCUUUCUGUGUGGAUAUCUGGUAAUCUCCGCAUCCUUGUGGUCAUUCUCACCCCUGUUUGCCCUUUGGCUGUGUUUAAUUCUGUGUCCAUAAACUUUAUUGUGCCUCUCACAGCGCCAGCGCCACCACCAGCGGGACUUCGUCCAGCCGAGAUUGACGUGCCUGGUAUGAAUGAUGUCUAGGGGACUGAAAGCCGUAAUUUUUUGUGUCAGACAAGAUCGCCUGGGCCAAGAAGCUGAACGAGAAUCUGACCGGACACUGACUGGACAAGCCAUGCGACUUUUCGGGAGCUCCAUACUCCCGCUUUCUCUGGAAUGGAGUAAAACAUACAUGUACAUGGGUCGCUCACUCUUACGGAGAUAAAAAGUUUCGUAUUGACCUUGAGACACGGCACUGACAACCUUCCUGGAACUCUGGGCUCUGGGAAGACCACUGCUCUUGCUACUGUGGCUGGAUAUCUUCGGCAACUUUGGAAGAACACCUCCAAGAAGGUCGUCUUUAUCAAUGACGAAUGUUUCAUUGACAAUCCCUCGAGGACAAUGUGGGUGGCUCUUUUGCUGAGCUACAUAGACGACUUUCCAGCCGAGCUUUCAUGCCGGGGGGUGGACCCUGAAAGUAUUAGAAUUUUGGAUCCUGAUGCCGGGGGGUGGACCUUGAAAGUAUUAGAAUUUUGGAUCCUGAUGCUGCAGAUAAAUGAAGUGAGUGUUGUGGAAGAUUUCAAUCCUUGUCCCCCUCAGGAUUUUCCAGAACUUGCUUAGCCAGAACAUCUUUCAGGUACACUGGUUUUUUGCUCUUCUUCAAAGCUUUCUCUUCCUUUGUUAUCGGAAAACUUCACCUUUGGCUUGUACAUAUGCUGGGAUCCUUCUUCUUGAUCUUGGCUAGCAUCUCUAAAAUUAGUAUCUUUGCAGCACUCCAUCCAGUCUUCCUCAUUUGAUGGCAAAUUCAUGUCCACAAGCCUACACUUUUGAAGCAAUGCCAAUUUUGGCGGAUAAUAAUUCAAAGUUGAAGAGAUCAGAAUACUCUUUCUUAAGCUAGUCAAUUGCUAUAAUAUAAAGACUGUUGGAGGGGUUUGAGAAAUAAAGGAGCAAAAUAAAAAUAUUGAAUAGAAACAUUUAUUGGAAGACCAAAGUGAUGGGAAGUAAAUGUAAAAAGAAAUAAAAUAAAAAUAAAGGGAAGGAAAAAAAAUUAAAAAGUUAUGAAAAAAAAGGAAAAGUCUCAAAUAUGCAAUCCUAAAAACCAUUUGCAAUAAUAAAAGCUCAAACUCAAGAUUGCUUACAUUCACCACAUAUAUGCAUUUGUAUAAUUAUUGCUAUAGAAAAUGAAAAUUGAUUUUGUUGUUAGUAUAGAUGAUUUUGCCACACAAUGCAACUGUAAAUGGCAAUGUGUGGCAACAAGCCAAGCAAUAAAAUAUAAACCCACUAACCUUUAUCAACUUUUAUCAUUUUGUCAUUCCAAACACCACAAGCCAAAAUCCCCACCUCAUAAACCAGAAUUCUGCAACAAAGAAAUUCAUUGCUCCAUCUCUCCAAAAGGAUAUAGAUGACACCUAGUGUCUAAAGCACUAUGCCUAUGAUACCAUGUGAAGAGAAGCUAGCCUCUCCACCUAAUACUCUAAAAAAAGAGAGCAGCUCUCACAAAAUAGGAAAAAAAACUAAGAAGCUUAAAUUGAAGGAAUGUGACUCAAGCCAUUUGGCUUGACUCUAAGACAGGAUGGCAUUAGUGGCUGCCACAUUCUCUACUUUGGUGGCAGGAAGACCCUUUACUCACAACCUCCAGAGGGAUGAGCACACCUAUACAUACCGCUUAAACAAACAAAAUUGUGGCUAAGUUUUCACUUUUUGUCUCUUGUGUUUAUAAUUGAGUUAGUGGUCUAAACCACCGGGCCGUCGGAUGAAGAUCGUGCGGUCCCUGACGAUCAUCGAAUCCCUAACCCUAGCUAAUAUAUAGGGCGCUCUUGAUCGCUCUCCGGAUCAUCGAUCCCAGCGCGCGGCGGCGAGGAUUUCAACUAACGAAAUGGACGAGGAAUUGGCUAAGGUGCAGGCUCAAAUCGCGCGUCUUGAGCCGCAGAUCCAAGCGGCUGGGGAAUCUUUUCUCUUUGCCUUUGAGAGUGGCAAUCAAUUUCUGGCGAAAUAUUGGCAGAAAAAGGAAGAGCAGCUGCGGAAGAAAAAAUUACAGCUGUGGAAGAAGGAACUCCUCCUCCUCAAAUCUAAUUGUAAGUCAUUCUUUGUGGGCGUUUUGCUGUGUGUUGUGGAUUAUGUGUGGUUCCAUUGGCUACUUUCGGCCAUGGUUAAGGAUUUUGCCAGAGGUAGCUUCAAUUCGCUUUUAUUUUGGGUUGGUGGAAGUGUGGCUAUGGUGGCUUUUGGCUGUGCUGCCGGUGGACGCAUGCUCCCUUGUGCAUCCUUGGUCGUCCUUGUAUGGCUAUGGCUGUUGAGACCCUGGUUUUUUCUUCUAGAUCUAAUACUAACUUUGUUUUGUUCUGAAUGUUGCAGUGCUUAGAAAUAUGAACUAGUGAAGUCCAUGUAAACAAGCACCCUAGAUUGCAUGAUGUGUGUAAGGCUAUAUGGAGUAUCGGCCCGUGAGAAGAAGUAUGGUAUGUGCCAGUCUCGAGGCUCGGCUCCUUGCAAGUGCCUCUCGAGAGCCACUGGGCGGUAUGAAGUAGACCCGAGCACCGCUUGUCCAUCGCCACCACCUUUCAUCACUGCUGAGACGUGUUCCGCUAGAUCAGAGGCAGGAUUUCCUGGGAGUCUCGUAUUUCCCGAACAAGCUGCUCCAGCCGGAUAUGGUGUCGCCCCUGGACAAGUGCCUGAAUAUGUGCAAGGCAAACUGCUCCUGUGCCGCGGUCUUCUAUAGCAAGAACUCGAGCGGCUGCUACUUCGUCAAGGACAUCCUGGGAAGCUUGGACUUUGAUGCCACUGCUGCGGUGCAGUACUCCGCUCAUCUCAAGCUCGAGAGUGGCAGCAUUGUCCUGAAGCCUGGAUGCUACUUUAUCUAGUUGGGUGUCUUCUCUUUGGGAUGACUGGUAGCCUGACACUAGAGUUUGCUCAGUUCUGCUCACAAGUCUGUGCGUUCCUCCAAAGCCCCCUUGUUUGCUUUUCAUGUCUGUCUUGUGUUUUACUUGGUCAUUCCCCGAUGCCUUCGCCUCUCAGAUCUGUGUUGCGAAAUCCCUGACCAUAACCACACAUGGAAGAGAUGACUAACCGAGAAGGAGCUCUUUCUCCUCUCCCGCAGCAGCCUCUCUUUCACCCGGAGCAGCAGCAACUCUUUAUCCUGGAGCGGAAUCUGUUUCUUUCUUUCUGUGUGGAUAUCUGGUAAUCUCCGCAUCCUUGUGGUCAUUCUCACCCCUGUUUGCCAUUUGGCUGUGUUUAAUUCUGUGGCCAUUCCUCCAUAAACUAUAUUGUGCCUCUCACAGCACCAGCGCCAGCAGCGGGACUUCCUCCAGCCGAUUUUUAUGUGCCUGGUAAGAAUGAUGUCUAGGGGACUGAAUGCCAUGACUGGACAAGCCAUGCGACUUUUCGGGAGCUCCAUAUUCCCGCUUUCUGUGGCUAUCAAACAUACAUGUACAUGGGUCGCUCACCCUUCAAGGAGAUAGAAAGUUUCGUAUCGGCCUUGAGACACGGCGCUUCGGAUAAUGACAACAAACCUCCAGGUAUUAUUAUUGGAACUCCGGGGUCUGGGAAGACCACUGUUCUUGCUACUGUGGCUGGAUAUCUUCGGCACCUUUGGAAGAACACCUCCAAGAAGGUCGUCUUUAUCAAUGGCGAAGAUUUCAUUGACAAUCCCUUGUGGACAAUGUGGCUGGCUCUUUUACUGAGCUACAUAGACGACCUUCCAGCUGAGCUUUCGUGCCGGGGGCGGACCUUGGAAGCAUUAGAAUCUUGGAUCCUGUCGAGAUCGUCAGAGCAGCUUUACUUUCUGGUGGACGAGGCCAACGCGUUUGACACCACGCUGAAGAGAGAACCGGGGGCUGCCAGCGCGAAAAAAAGAGACGACGCUUACCAUUUUAUGAAGAAUAUGCAACUGCAGCACGUCGUUGUCUACUGCUCAAGUACGUGGACGAGCAGAUUAGUGAGCGACAAAAGCCAGGUGGUUACAACGUAAGUGGCGACUACUUUCCAACACUGGUGUGGGGCUAACUUGUGUGCUUUUCCUUUUAUCCAACAGGCUGAGGAACUGCAGGCAUAUUGCGAACACGAGGUUCGUCGUGCCGGGGGGCUCCAAGUGGAGGUGAGCAUCGUAUUUACCGUGUCUUCUUUUAAAGCCUACUAAUGGUUUGGAGUAGGAGGAUCCGAUUGUGGCGUAUUGCAGGCUUGCCACAAGGCAAGGCCACCGAGAGUUGAUCCGACAAAUUCAGCUCCUCCUCAGAUCCAUCAACCUGCUUCAUCGCGUCGGUAAGCCACACAUUCACACAUUUCAUUUACCUUAAUGCGUUUGCUCGGAAUUCAAAAGUGAGACCGGCUGGGUUCCCAGGCUUGUUCGCUCAUUACGGGACCUGGAAGCUAGGGACCACGUACCAGAUGUACGAAGCUGGCCUGGGAGAGUAUAUCCAAGAGGCGGUCAAGGACCCAGAUCGCUGGAAUUCCUUCAUCGCUGUGGUCAGCAGAGUGGAAACGAUUAGAGCGGUGUUACCAGACGCGCUAGACACUCGAUGUUUUUACGUGGAUCCAGAGACACAAACAGGAAAAUGUCCAUCAGAUUCUCUGUGCGCGCGCACUAUGGCGACUCUGCAGUACGCGUCUGACGUUGAGGCUAGGAUGGGUAUCGGCCAAUGGACAAGGCUGAUCUCGCAGGAUGACAACAGUGCUCGGGUUGGGUGGAACGCAAUAAUGGCAACUCUCAUUUUCAUCAAACACUAUGGUAUCGUUAUUACCGCGGAAGGUCUGCAGCUUAACUUUAAACCUGAAGUGGUUGUCAGAUUCGAACCCCAACUUCUGUUUGGAUCCUAUGAUCCCCCCCCCAUCCUUCGUGGGGUACAACACACCUCAGUCCAAAUGCUUCCAUCAGUCCUUUUAGGACCAUUUUUUGACUCUACUUAAGUCAUCCAGCAGUUUUAGACUUGAUUAAUUCACAGACCUAUAAGGUCCCACUUGUGAAGCACUAGCUCACUGGAAUACACUUCCUGCAUUCCUGUCCUACUUAGAAGGACUAUUUUCACAAGUGUUAUUCUGACACUUGUUUUUGUUCUCUAGGGCAACUUCUGCCCCUUAGAACUACUUGUCCAUGUGAUGAGAAUACCAACUCAUCUUUAAGUACACCCCCCAACUCUUUGGGUUGUUCUAACAUUUAUUAAAGGUAGCCCCGGCUACCAUUUCAAGGGCUGGUGUCCUCUUCUGUAUUUGACAUCCCACAGUCAACAAUUUUAGUCUCGAAUUUAUGAGUACCAGCCUCAACCAUAUAAGGGUAAUCUUGUGACUCCUUUAUUGUUUUGGAGUCUGCAUCUUCCCCGUGAUCCCAAUUGUAGUUGUUUACCACAACUACAUUAGCAAGUUUGUUAAGUCAAACGCUCAUCUGGAUCACAUCCUCAACUCUCUGAAGAAACCCUUAUACUAUUCCCAAGAUCCCAAAGUCAUUCCAUUAUUGGCCCCUUUUCUAUCCAGCACAUUGCACCCAAGUUCACGCAUGAACUUGAGUGGAGAGCCAUGUCCUCUCGACAUGCUACUCCUCAAGGAUAGGCCCACUCCUAGGACUUUCUGAUGCCAAUAUCAAUGGUGUUAUACUUGAGCACCAAUAAAAGUCGGACUAAAGAACAACUCCGAUACUAAGUUGUAAGUGACUAAAUUUUCCAUUUUACUUUAGUCACUUAACCGCACCUCCGACCACUUGGAGGAGUCUCACUCACAACCUCCGUAAGUCCUAUUUUGGACCUGGGCUUACUAGCCCCGAGAAUGGCAUCCCCGCCACUCAACUUCGUGCACUUGGUCCAAGUGCUCCACGUGUCCGAUCCCAUGACUGACACCCCAAGGUACCACCAACAUAUCAGCCUGUUACGCUAAGGCCAUGCCCAUUCACCUUGGUCACAACGAUGGUCUGACACCAUCUGCAUCCCAAUCCCAUCACUUAAAGACUGGGCCAUCCAUCCAUGAGUGAUCAUCCCAAAUCCACUCCUUAGCAUCCUUAGGAUGCCCACCGACAUGGGGAUUAGCCUUCCCCAAUAUCUCCGUUCCAAUCCCCACUAAGUCCCUUUUCGUCCAUGGCCGUGUUUGCCAACACUGCCACUGGAUCGAGGCCCACAGGCCCGACCACUAAGUCCCACGGUCCACUGGGACUUCCUCACCACACGACUGUGUCCUUGGUCACUACCCCAGAGGACUGCUCCUCUUCCUUUCCACAGUCUGAGCCUUUGGGACAACAUUUCGGAACACCGUGGCCUUACGCGAGCCACCUGGGUACUCUCCCCGCCUUCCGCCCUUGGGUGCUCUAGCCAUGGGCUUAGAGCGAGGUUCCGUUGAGCCACGCCUGGUAUCCAAGUAGGUAGUGCCACCCACACUUGGACUGGGAGCAUCGGCCAGUCGAUCUCCCGGGGGAACUAGAGCCGGCUCUUGAACACUUCACCAAGCUACCCCGCUUGUCGGUCUGUGUUCACUCUAGUCUUGGACUUCCCAGUGGUCAGCUCAUCACCCAACACUGGGUCUGGCCUUCCUGGGCCAAACUGGCCUUUCCUAGCCAAACUGGCUCCACUGGGCUCCAACCCCCACACUCUCCCUACUAUACUUUUGGAAACCCCCGCCCUGGGGGACGAUCGCUUUGGGCUUUCACCCAACUGCCUGUAUUAGUAUUCGGACUCGGACUCGGACUCGGUCUCGGUCUCGGUCCCGAAUUCGGACUCGGACUCAAUCUCGGUCUCGGUCUCGGUCUCGGUCUCGGUCCCGGUCUCGGUUCCAUCUCGGACUCCAUCUUGGGUCCAUCUCAGACUCCAUCUCGGGUCCAUCUCGGACUCCAUCUCGGGUCCAUCUCGGACUCCAUCUCGGGUCCAUCUCGGACUCCAUCUCGGGUCUAUCUCGGGUCCAUCUCGGACUCCAUCUCAGGUCCAUCUCGGACUCCAUCUCGGGUCCAUCUCGGGUCCAUCUCGGACUCCAUCUCGGGUCCAUCUCGGACUCCAUAUCGGACUCCACUUCGGGUCCAUCUCGGACUCCAUCUCGGACUCCAUAUCGGACUCCACUUCGGGUCCAUCUCGGACUCCAUAUUGGACUCCAUCUCAGACUCCACUUCGGCCUCUACUUCGGGUCCAUCUCGGACUCCACUUCGGGUCCAUCUCGGACUCCACUUCGGGUCCAUCUUGGACUCCAACUCGGGUCCGCCUCGGACUCCAUGUCGGACACUUCCACGUGUCAUGUGUUGGUCCUUUUUGGGUCCCUUUUUGGAGCCUUGCUUAUUGGUUGCCUCGUGCUUGCUCCUCGAGCACUUUGUUGGGAGUUCCACUCCCGCUCUCAACCUUCCAAGUCGGAGCUUUUAGUCCAAACGUGUUAUGCUCGUUUGGCUUUCGCUUCGGCCACUACCACGUGGCACCCUUUCCAGCUCCACUUUGGGGGCCUAGGGAUUUUGUGUCUCACACAAAUUUGGACACUUUCCAUAAAUAGCAUUUGGGACCGAAAUGAGACUAACACAAAAGGCAUGAUAGCGAGGGUUUUUGGUAGGCACGGUAAGCUAUUAUCCAGCGAUAUUGAGGGACUAAUCUCAAUACGCGAGGGUUCUUGUCAAGCCAGUGCAAGACAGAGCAAAAGAGAACUAAAAAGCCAGGCCAAGUAUGUUUGGCUAAAUAGACACUUAGGAAUUCCGUCCUUAUGCUCAUCCGGCCAAGUACAGAUGCAAAGUCCAGUUUACUAACACUUGAACAAGAGGGGCUGGCAAAGGGUCUAGCAAUACUGACCUCCUGCCAUCAUGGCAGUAAGGAAAGAGUGUCCGUAAGGACUGGUCGACAGGUAACUUUCGAUACCCGAAGUCACAUUCGCGACAAUUCCUGAUAGCACCCCCUCGGAUUGAAGAUCAUUUCUGAUCGCAUUCAUCAAGGAGGAGUCCUGAGGGGCCAGAGAAAUUGCCAUAACUUGAAGCCGAUCAGGACCGAGGAUAACUUGAUCAUGUUGAUUGAAGGCAGGAUUACCAGGCCUGAGACUGAGAUAGGACCGCCUUGAAAGAGCAUCAGGAAGGCCUUGAAACUUUCUAGGUCUGUACUUGAUAACAAAGUCAAACCGACUCAAGAAUUGUGCCCACCUUGCUUGACGACGGCUCAAAACUCAGGAAGUGGCAAAGCACUCAAGAUUUUUGUGAUCCGUCCAGACCAUUGUUUGAUGGCCCGCCCCCUCCAAGAAACGACACCACUCUCCAAAGGAAUCCACGAUGGCAAGAAGCUCCUUGUCAUGGAUUUCGUAAUUGAUCUCCGCAGGUUGGAAUUUCUGAUAAUGGAAGGCGACUGGAUGAAAUUCUUGAUCCGCUCCGAGUUGAAACAACACAGCACUGAUGGCAAAGUCAGACACAUCAGCCUCGAUGAAGAAAGGUUGUGAGGGAUCAGUGUGGAUCAAGACAAGAGCAAAACUGAAGGCCGCCUUGAGUGUGUCGAAGGCCUGCUGGGCAGCAGCAGACCAAGAGAAGGGAACAUCCUUGUGAGUGAGAUGCGUGAGAGGAAGGACAAUGUCAGAGUAGUGAUCAAUGAAUUUGCAAUAGGAAUUGGCGAAGCCAAGGAAAACCUGAACAUCCGACAUUGAUUGUGGAGGCUCCCAUUCGAGAAUAAUCUUGACUUUGGCAGGAUCCAUCGUGAUACCCUCAAGAGUGACAAUGUACCCAAGGAACUCCACAGACUCCUGAUCGAAGGAACAUUUCUCAAGCUUCGCAUAUAAGCCAUGUUCCCGCAGCUUUGCCAACACCUUGCGCACAUGCUCGUCGUGCUCCUCCUGAGUUUUUGAGUAGAUGAGGAUGUCAUCAAGGUAGACGAUCACCAUCUGAUCAAGAAACUCCCGAAAGACGUUGUUUGCCAUGUGUUGGAAAAUUGUUGGAGCAUUUGUCAAGCCAAAUGGCAUAACGGUGUAUUCGAAGUGGCCAUAUGUAAGCCACAAAUUUUUCCUUUCCAAUUUGCCAGCUUACCUCGCCUAUCCGUCCAACACCGCCUUGGCUUUUGCUAAGUUCCCUUGCCAAGGUUCUCGCCUAUGGUACCAGCUCCUACUUGGUCUCAGCUACUCACUGCACGAGCAACGGAGUGUUAGCCACCAUCCACGGAUUCCCAAAUCACUCCCAAUCCCCCUCCCCGGGUUAGACUGGACUUAAGGUUCGGCUACACUCCCCGCAAGCACAAGCAGCCAAGCACACCAAGCUUCCAGGUUCCUAACAUCCUUUGGUACCACAAGACUUGAUCAUGGGACCCUCUAAAUCCCAAGUCUUGAGUGCAACACUUGCUUCGGGACGCCGGGGCGAAACACCGUGGCCUAGCGGCCCGGUAUGGGUACCUCUCGCCCCCCACUUCCAUCCCGAAGGAAGGCCCAAGCCCCUAGGAAGGGCGAGGACCAAUGAGCCGCAUGGUACUCAAGUGGGGCACCACUCCACUUGAGCCGGGAGCACCGCAAUCGGUUUCCCUUUCGGGAGUGGGAGCUGCUCUUGAGCACUUCCUUGGAUGGCCCCUCCGGCACCAACCAAGUCCAUGCUCACUCCCACCCAAGGCCCCUCGGUCCCAGUCCCAACCUCAAGUCAGUUUGGGAGCCCCACUGGAGAGUCCCUUCUAAACUGGUUCCUGGACCUCACUAUCCCUACCAUACUUUUGGAACCCCCUACAGCCCCCCCCCCCCCCUGGGAGACGCACGCUUUGGGCUUUCACCCCUUGACCCGUAUUAGUAUUUGGACUUAGUCUCUGGCUCGAUCUCGGACCCGAUUUCGGAUCCGACUUCGGAUUCGGGUUCGGACUCGAUCUCGGACUCGAUCUCGGACCCGAUCUCGUACCCGACCUCGGACUCGACCUCGAACUCGGUCUCGGACCCGAUUUCGGAUCUCGGACUCCGUCUCGAACUCAGUCUCGAACUCGGACUCGAACUCGGUCCCCGAGUCGGUCUCGGACUCGAUUCCGGACUCGAUCUCGAACUCGGUCCUAGAGUCGGUCUUGGACUCGAUCUUUGACUUGGUCCCAUCCGAUGAACUCUUUGUCAUUUUGGUCAUGCUUUCGGGGUUCCUUUAGCCUACGACACCUCGGCGAGUUGGUUCCUUACACCAUAGCGGGUUCGGAACGCAGUCUUCCAUUCAUUACUAGGCCGGAUCUGGAUCAGGUUGUAUGCUCCACAGAGGUCGAUCUUGGUGAAGAAGCAGGCACCGCUGAGGCGUUCCAAUAUGUCUGAGAUCAGGGGCAGUGGAUAACGGUUCCGAACAAUCACCUUGUUCAAACCUCGGUAGUCGAUGACUAGCCGCAAACUCCCAUCCUUCUUCUUGACAAAGAAGACAGGCACUUCAGUCGGGGACUGCGAAUGCUGAAUGUACCCCGAGGCAAGGUUCUCAUCCACGUAUUCUUUGAGGGCCUUAAGCUCGGACGGGGAUAACCCAUAGAUAGGCCCCCACGGAGGUGAUGCUCCUUCCUGUAAAUCAAUGGGACAGUCAUAAGGCUGAUGAACAGGCAGUACACUAGCUUUUUUCUUGUCAAACACAUCCCCAAAAUCAUGAUACUUCUCAGGAACACUGACAGGAGAAACAUGCAAAGCAAAAAAGGAAAAUAGAUUCUUCAUGAAGAAGUUCUUUCAUAGUGAUUGUGGAGAUAGGAGGAGGUGUACAACUAAAUGGAAUGAUGAGACGAGGAUACUGUCCAGUGUAAUAUGGAAGAGAGGAAAAAGAAGAGGGUGAAAACUUCGUAGAGUCAGGAAUAGAACCCCAAUUUAAGUUUAAGGAACUUUUCCUGAUUCGGACUCGAUGAACAGCAGGGGAAGCCAUGGGAGAUGAUGAUGUGGGAGAGACGAGCUGUAAUUCCUUCCAAUAGAUCUGAGGCUGAUGUAGUUGGAACCAAGGGAGGCCAAGCACCACAGAGAAGGACUUGUUGUUGAUGAUGUUGAAGGCGAUAUCGGUGACGGUGGACCCGAUGUGUACUUGAAAGGGCAACAUUUCCCUAAGUCCAGAAGAUGGAAACACAAAAUGCCUGCCGAUGCCUUCAACCCUCAGAUCCCGUAUGGUAGGAGAAAGAGGAACGUGAUGUCAGGCAGCAAAGUUCGUGUCCAUGAAGCAGGAAGUUGCACCCGAGUCCAGUAGUGCCAGAGCCUUGAGUCCUGAUUGUCCGGUGAAAGAAAGGAGACAUAGGAUGCGGAAGUUGCGGGAAUUGGUGGUGGCUUUGAUGAAAGGUGGUGAAGAGCUUGAUAAAGAAGAAAAGUGAUUUUUAUUUGGGGAGUCCAAACAGACAGCUCCUACUUUGUUUGGACAGGGUCGUUUCCCAAUUGCAACAGAGAUGGACUUUGAGGCAGAGUGAACUCGAGCAAUCGGGGAGGCUUCUUGGGACACACAGUUGCUUUGUGAUUAGGAUCAGCAUAGUAGAGGCAAAGAUUAUGAGAUAUUCGACGUUGCUUCUCAGCAGGACUCAACUUCCCUCUGAUGAGUCGGGGAGUACCAGAAAUAUCCAUCGGGACCGGAGUAGUAGGUCCAGGAGUAUGCUCUGAAGACUCAAGCUGGGAUUCCUGAGUCUGGGACGGGAAAACGGCGGCACGGUGACUUUUCUGAUGACGUUCAAAGAGACGAUUGUCGCAUCAAACAGCUUUGUUGAUGGCGUCCGACAAGUCCGUGGGAUCCUCCAUGGUGAGCAACAAAUCCUUGACACCGUUGUUGAGGCUGAAACGAAAUUGAUCAAUCAAGGCCUGCUCAUCCUAUUGAGUGUCCAAGGCAAGGAGUUGGAACUCUGCAGCAUAGAUCGAGGCAGGACGAGACCCUUGAGAGAGACGUCUCAUCUUUGUGGUGGCAGCCCGAACCCGAUCCGUCUCGCCAAAACAUGCUUCGAGCUUCUCUUUGAACAAUUGAAAAUCCAUCAGCUCCAGAACCACGACCCCUUUCAUGCUCUUCUCCAGGAGAGGAGAAAACCAUGACAAAGUUGCACCUUCGAGCAACAUCCCAAUCGCACCAAUUUGAGACUCGGGAGUGGGGUACCGCCGAUGUUAAAGUCCGAAGAUCAGCUCCAUCUGGUUCAGGAAUCCACGAAGCUCUGAACGCUUCCCUAAAAAUUUUGCCGGGAAACUCACCUUCGGUUUAGGAACUUUGUUGGAUCCUUGAGCCGAAAGUGAAGCAAGCUCCUGUUGCAUGCGAAGAAGGGUCGCCUUCAGCUCAAUAUUCUCAGACUGGAUUUUUGCAAGGACUUCGGCAAAGAAAUCAGGAUGGCUUGGAAACUCCAUUGGAAAAGAAGAAAGAAAAAAGGGGGAAAAAAUGCAAAGGCAGUCAAACAAUCAAAACAAGCUAAAGCAAAAAACGAAAAAACACAAUCUAAAUCAAACUAUCAAGACCCCUAACAAGAUCAAGACUGGAAAAUGCAAAAGACAAAGAGAAAAGCUAGUGAAUAACGAAGAAGAGGCCUUAGACUAGUGUUGAUUCAGAUUGUAGAGAAAUGGAACAAAGCUAACUUAUAUAUACUAUAGGUUGAUGAAGCUCCACCACUUUUGGAUCGAGGACGGCCCAAAUAUAGUUGAGGUUGAGGAGGCGUCACAUCAUCAUCAGGAAUGUGGCUCGAGACUCAGGAAUCGUAUGGGAAAUCGAGAGUCAGGAAUAGGGAAGUGUUUUGAGAGUCAGGAAUAGGGAAGUGUCUCGAGAGUCAGGAAUGUGGUCUGCAGGUCAAGAAUCUGGCGAGAGUCAGGAAUGUGGCAAGAAUUGGGGGAUUUCUGACAACAAUAAAAGGAGUGAUCAAUGUAAGCUCCUAAGUUUAGACUUUCCAGGGGUGACAAUAAAAGGAGUGAUUAAGUGUAAGUUCCUGAGUUUGGAAUUCCCAGGAGGUCACCUAACCUAGUACUAUUCAAACCUAAGAACGUUUAACUCAAGUAUCCCAAAACCUUUAACUAAUUUGAAAAAGGGGUGCACUUUUUUUAAGGGCGUUUUCCCUUUAUAUUUGAAUCCUAUGUAUCAUUUUUCAAAUCGUUCUUUUUGGUUGCUUAUAAUCCACCACGCUUCCAUGUAAUUUCAUGCCUUCAUGAAUGGAAGCUGAAAGCCAUAGCUCAACUCAAGAGUUUAUAUUUGGUAUCAGAGAGGUCUUGGGUCCGACUUUAUUGAUUGGCUAAAAGAAUUGCACUAGAUAUUGAUUGACAUCAGGUAAGUUUAAUUUACUUUUUAAUUAUUUAUAAUUAAUGAUGAAGACACCAUUAACUUUGUAGCUCCCUAUGCCAAUUCACCUAUCAACCCCACAAUAGAACCUACACUUAGUUUGUGGCCAUCUACCAUAUAGCUUAACAUGAUUGUAAUUUAGGGCAUUUUGUCAUUCUAGAUACCACCUCAUAAAUCAGAAUUCUGCAGGCAAGGAAAUUCAUUGCUCCAUUUUUCCAAAGGACAAAGAUGACACCUAGUGUCUAAAGCACUACUCAUGCCAAAAAUUCUAACCUAUGCCUCUUAUACCAUGUGAAGAGAAGCUAGCCUCUCCACCUAACACUCUGCAGAAAGAGAAAACUCCAAGAACAAGCAGCUCUCACAAAACAGCAAAAAGAGGUAAGAACGUUAAAUUGAAGAAAUGUGACUCAAGCCAUGUGGCUGACUCUAUGGUGGCUGCCACAUUCUCUACUUCAUAGAGUCUGCCACAUUCUCUACUUUGGUGGUAGGAAGACCAACUGUAAAAUAGAAGCCACUAAAACAAACAAAAUUGUGGCUAAGUUUUCACAUUUUGUCUCUUUAUCGUGCUAUCGUUACGGUUUUAGGGCAAAGCCCACCACCAACCUAGGUUUUCACGAUAGGGUUUCAAUUAACGAAAUGGACGAGGAAUUGGCUAAGGUGCAGGCUCAAAUCGGGCGUCUUGAGCCGCAGAUCCAAGCGGCUGGGGAAUCUUUUCUCUCUGCCUUUGAGAGUGGCAAUCAAUCUCUGGUGAAAUAUUGGCAGAAGAAGGAAGAGCAGCUGCGGAAGAAGGAAGAACAGCUGCGGAAGGAAAAAGAACAGCUGCGGAAGAAGGAACUCCUCCUCCUCCAAUGUAAUGGUAAGUCAUUCUUUGUGUAUUUAGCUUUCCCCCUCGAUUUGGGGAUGGCUGCUUUCAGCCAUGGUUAAGGAUUUUGCCAGAGGUAGCUUCAAUUCGCUUUUAUUUUGGGUUUGUGGCGUGUUGCGAAAUCCCUGACCAUAACCACACAUGGAAGAGAUGACUAAGGAUCUCUUUCUCCUCUCCCGCAGCAGCCUCUCUUUCACCCGGAGCAGCAGCAACUCUUUAUCCCGGAGCGGCUCCACUGUCCUGCUUUGCUUUCCCUGUCUGGUCACGGUUAAGGAUUUUUGCUUCCUGAAUCUGUUUCUUUCUUUCUGUGUGGAUAUCUGGUAAUCUCCGCAUCCUUGUGGUCAUUCUCACCCCUGUUUGCCCUUUGGCUGUGUUUAAUUCUGUGGCCAUUCCUCCAUAGACUUUAUUGUGCUUCUCACAGCACCAGCGCCAGCGCCAGCAGCGGGACUUCCUCCAGCCGAUUCUUACGUGCCUGGUAAGAAUGAUGUCUAGGGGACUGAAUGCCAUAAUUUUUGGUUUCAGACAUGAUCGCCUGGGCCAAAAAGCUGGACGAGAACCUGACCGCAGAUUUUGCUGACGGCGGCAUUGACUGGACAAGCCAUGCGACUUUUCGGUAGCUCCAUAUUCCCGCUUUCUCUGGAACGGAUGGCAAUCAAACAUACAUGUACAUGGGUCGCUCACUCUUCAAGGAGAUAGAAAGUUUCAUAUCGGCCUUGAGACACGGCGCUUCGGAUAAUGACAACAAACCUCCAGGUAUUAUUAUUGGAACUCCGGGGUGGUCUGGGAAGACCACUGUUCUUGCUACUGUGGCUGGAUAUCUUCGGCACCUUUGGAAGAACACCUCCAAGAAGGUCGUCUUUAUCAAUGGCGAAGAUUUCGUCGACAAUCCCUUGAGGACAAUGUGGCUGGCUCUUUUGCUGAGCUACAUAGACGACCUUCCAGCCGAGCUUUCGUGCCGGGGGUGGACCUUGAAAGUAUUAGAAUCUUGGAUCCUGUCGAGAUCGUCAGAGCAGCUUUACUUUCUGGUGGACGAGGCCAACGCGUUUGACACCACGCUGGGUGUGAAAACUGGGGGCUGCCAGCGCGGAAAGAAGGGACGAGGCUUACCAUUCUAUGAUGACGAUGCAACUGCAGGACGUCGUUGUCUACUGCUCGUCCGUCGGACCUCUGUGGAGGAGCAGAGUAGUGAGCGACAAAAGCCCUCCGUACAUGUUAGUCACAGGUGGUUACAGCGUAAGUAGCGACUACUUUCCAACACUGGUGUGGGGCUAACUUGUGUGCUUUUCCUUUUAUCCAACAGGCUGAGGAACUGCAGGCAUAUUGCGAACACGAGGUUCGUCGUGCCGGGGGGCUCCAAGCGGAGGUGAGCAUAGUAUUUACCGUGUCUUCCUUUAAAGCCUACUAAUGGUUUGGAGUAGGAGGAUCCGAUUGUGGCGUAUUGCAGGCUUGCCACAAGGCAAGGCCACCGAGAGUUGAAUGCGAAACGCAUUAAGGUAAAUGAAAUGUGUGAAUGUGUGGCUUACCGACGCGAUGAAGCAGGUUGAUGGAUCUGAGGAGGAGCUGAAUUUGUCCGACAUGGAGCUCUGCUCGGAAUUUAAAAGUGAGACUGGCUGGGUUCCCGGGCUUGUCGCUCAUUACGGGACCUGGAAGCUACGGACCACGUACCACAUGUACGAAGCUGGCCUGCGAGAGUAUAUCCAAGAGGCGGUCAAGGACCGAUAUCGCUGGAAUUGCUUCAUCGCUGUGGUCGGCGGAGUGGACACGAUUACAACGGUGUUGCCAGACGCGCUAGACACUCGAUGCUUCUACGUGGAUGCAGAGACAGAAAUAGGAAAAUGUCUAUCAGAUUCUCUGCGUGCGCGCACUAUGGUGCUCAUCACCGAGACUCUGCGGUACGCGUCCGACUUUGAGGCUAGGAUGGGUAUCGGCCAAUGGACAAGGCUGAUCCGGCACGACGACAACGUUGGGUGGAACGCAGAAAUGGCAACUCUCAUUUUCAUCAAACACUAUGGUAUCGUUAUUGACACGGAAGGUCUGCAGCUUAACUUCAAACCUGAAGUGGUUGUCAGAUUCGAAGGUGAUUUCUCUCCCCAAUUUCUGAUCGCAGACAAUGUUUCUCGUUUCUUCCCACCUGUGAAGUUCAACCACACGGGAGUUGAUUGCCUUGGAGAAAACCAGAAGCACGUUUUGUGGGUGCAAAUAGCGACUGGGGUGGAUGUGGUAUUGAAGCAUGGAAAUACGCUCUCGCGAUUUUUGGAGAUGACAAAAGGUGACGCGCGAGAGAAGGUUCUUAUUUGGAUCUUGGCAGUGGACAGUGCUGAUAAGAUAUGGAUACGCAAUGGCGUGGGUUACAAGGAGGUGUUCAUUUGUUUUGGCCGUUUGAGUGAACUGCUGGAAGUCAUCGACGUUGCAUGCUGCAGGCUGCAUCUCGAGAGUAGCAAGAACGUCAAGGUGGCAAGCAACCCUGAAGAAGCUAAAGCUGAGGUGGAGGAGUUGAGAAAGCUUGGUCGGUGCGGUUCCUUGAGCACGGGAAGUGGAAAUCCGUGUCGGCGUUUUCGUGGUGACGAGCCAUAUUGCCAUCACCACGAUAAGCGUCCUUGAAUAGUCUUCAGUGUUUCAGCCUUGGAUGUUUACAUUUAACCAUCACAUUUUGGAAAUUUUGGGAAUUGUUGGUUUUUCUAGCCAAGCUUGUGCUUCUCGACGAUUGCAGCGAUAAGCCGAUGCUGCAGAUAAACGAAGCGGGUGCUUCUAAAGUGCGGGCUUCUAAAGUGUGGACUUGUGGACACGGAUUUGUGGUCAGAGGAGGACAAGGAUGAUGAUGAGGAUGGAGCGCUGCGGAGGUACGAAUUUUAGAGACGCUAGCACUUACAAACCUGUAAUGGACUAUCACCUCAAAAUAUUUUGUGAUCUAAAGUUCAGUAAAAUCUUGUCAAGCUGUAAUGCCUCUAUAGCUCAGUGGUAGAGUGUCAGUCUUGUAAACUGAAGGCCUGGAGUUCAAUCCUCCAUGGAGGCAAUGUAUUUUGUUCUGGGAAAAUUAGACCUUGGUCCUUCAGUAUAGUCAAGCAAAAACCUGGGCGUGAUCUCUGAGGAGGUGGAAAAAAAAGAGCUUUCAACCAUGCCAGAUCGAUGAAGCUUCCUUACGCUAUGGAAACGAAGGAGUUUAACACGUGAACCUCUUUCGGAUAGCAACACCGCUGACCACUUUUUCUACAGAGAAAACUGUGUCUCUAUGCUCCAGUUCCUCCUCUUCUUCCCGCCAGGAAAGGUUCUUCAUCCUCUACUCGAGAUUCCUGGAGGUUCAUCAACCGGGUGUAGUUUUCCAGAAUCUGCUUCCCAUUUUGCGUGAUGAUGCUCUCGGGAUGGAACUGGACAGCCUGAUCGAGUCGAAGAAGUAAGGAAGGAUUGAAGAACACAACUUGAUGCACAGCAAGAACUUCCUACCUGGAUGUGCUUAUACUUGCGAUGCCGCACGCCCAUGAUGAGACCAUCGUCCGUCCACGCCGUGAUCUCAAGCUCGUCGCCAGGAAAGGUUUCUCUUUCGAUGACCAAACUGUGAUACCGGCACGCUGUAAAUGGACUAAAAACAAGUGUUUGAAAAGAGAUUGGUAACAGAUAAGAAAGCAUACUUGGGCAAGCCUGAAAAUAUUCCUGGUUCACCUUUCUCGUCAUAGUAUACCGAAGAAACUUUCCCGUGCAUCACGCCAUUUGGUGCUCGAACAAUCUUUCCUGCCAAUCAAGGUACAGACCAGAACCGGGAAAACGAAGUAGUACGCACCUCCAAACGCCUCGCCAAUGCACUGGAGUCCCAUGCAGACGCCAAACAAAGGAAUAGAGGGCCCGAGUUCUUUCACUGUCUGCAAAGAUAUACCAGAAUCCUGUGGAGUACCUGGAAGGACUUUGCUUGGAAGAAUAAGAUCUACACGGAGAACAUACCUGGUCCCGGAGAAAUUAAAAUCCCACGAGGCCGCUUACUGCGAAAGAAAGAAAAGAUGAAGGCGAUUGUAUUCAGUGAUUGAUAGACGUGAAGAGGUACCUUUUCAAAGCUUGAACGGAAAUCUCGUCAUUCCGAUACACGACGAACUCGCAUCCAAGGUCUCCCAAAUACUGCAGAGCAUAGAUCGAAUGAACAAGGGAGAAAAAAGAGAACAAAAAAAUGGAACCUGGCAAAUGUUGUAUGUGAAGCUGUCAUAGUUAUCGAUCACAACAACAGGGCUUCGCGAUUUUCCCUGCUUGGAGUCGGAUGAAACAGCCCCCGCUGACACUGCCGUGGCCCUCAGCUGCAAAGAUCACUAAAUCUCAUUCACUAGCAAGAGAUCACACACACACAUUGAUCGAUCGCAAAAUAGUCUUUCACCAGACAGAGAAAUCGCUACUUACUCGCCCCGGAAGCGCUGAUGCGGAGGACGAUCGCGCUGCCGAUCUAUGUGAAGUCUCCAGCUCCAAUCUAGAACUGAAGCCCGUCGCCGGGGGGCAUGGCGCUCGAGCAGCCGCCAUCCAAUGCGCACUGGAAGUCUUGCCCUAUCUCUUGGAGAAUAUUCUUAUCUCGAGGUACUAGUGGCGGGAAAAUUUCAUCCCAGAUUAAUGGAUUCUUCUUCCUUGCGGAGCUCGUGCUUAGGGUUUCGCGUCCCUUGCUCGCGAUCGCGAUGCCGGGGCUCUAGGGUAAGUUUUGGGGCGCGAUGCGAGGCCCCGCGGCAGCUCAAGGAGGAGCGGCGGCGCACUCCUCCCACGGCAAAUGCGAGCGUGCCGGUGAGAAUGGUUUGGUAUCUGUCCGAGGCAUUCGGGAUCGCUGCUGCCGGCUUGCGAAAUUUCCAAUCCGGGCUAGGGAAAUCGCAGGACCAGGAGCAAGAAGAAGGGGAUUUUGAGGUCGUGACGAGAGAAAUGGCGUGCGAUCUGAUCAGGAAGGAUUACGAGCAGUCUUAUUUUGUCACAGGUACAUUCGUGUUUUUCUUGGAAGUAAUUCCUUUGAUCGGCUCACAGGAAAGAUGACCACCGGGAUUUACAAGAGCGAUUGCGAGUUCGCAGACCCUUUUGUAUCAUUUAAAGGCCUGAAGCGAUUCAAGCAAAACGUUUCCAAUCUCGGGGCUUUCAUGGAGAAGUCGACACUCAAGAUUGCGAGCUGGGACGAAAAAGAGGUGACGAUUUUCUGGAUCACAAAACCAAAUUCGUCGUCUCUUUUUUUUUCCUUCUUGGUGUUCGAGCAGGAUAGUCUCAAAGUAGGAUGGCGUUUUCGAUGCGUUCUUGCUUUGCCUUGGAGGCCAGCUAUAUCAGGUACCUCUCGUCUCCAAUCUUUCACACUUUCUAAAGGUUUGAGGAUUACUUUGCAGCUAGCGGAAGCACAGAGUAUUUCUUCGAUGACGAGUCUGGCAAGAUUUGCAAGUAAGAUCCAUACUCUCGAGCUGUGCUUCAAGAAAUAAUUUUGUUGUCGAUCAGGCACGUCGAGAGCUGGAACAUAUCACCGGCUGAUGGUGUUAGGCAAUUGUUCAAGCCGUCUAAAGCUGCCAAAUCGUAAAUGUAUAGUCUUGUAAGUUUUCUGUGUAGACUAAGUGGUCCAGUGUUUAACUCCCUCGUUUCUAUACCGUAAGACCGUAUGCUUGAAAGCUCUUUUGAGAUAAGCAAGUCUAGGGUUAAGGACCGAAAUUUCAAGUUUACAAGCCUGACGAUCUACCACUGAGCUAUAGAGGCAUUAGGAUGAUUACAGCUUGACAAGAUUUUCUUUAGAUCACAAAAUAUUUUGAGGUGAUAGUCCAUUACACAUUGCCUUUACAAGACAAACUUUUGUUAAAUCUAGAUUAGUUCACUGUUGGAAGGCUCGUUUUAUCUAAAACCCGAAUUCCACACACUCUUGGUCGAUGCACGCCAAGCCUAGGCAACAAUCGCCCACGGCCUUGCAAGAAGCUCCAACAUUUGGCACCGGGCAAAAGGGUGGCUCGCUACUGCUGCUGCUUGAUGAUCCUGGGAGCAUGCGACUCUCAGCAACAAAAGCUAGAACUGCCAGGAUCACCAAAAGGAUCCUCAAACAAAUGCUCCUUUUUGUCGCCAUUCUCUUUUCUCUUUCACUAUGGGAAUUAGGAUUUGGGGGAGAUGGGGCUUUAUAGUUUAGAGCGCGAGAACCUUUUCAUGGUUCAAGAAUAUUCUUAUUCUUCUAAAAAGGUGAUUUGGAGAAUCGACGCAUAUUCUCUUCAAAAUCUAGAAACUAAAAUCGACGGUCUGGAUUUCAUGCAUUUUAUCCGACGGUUGGUAUUUGUUGUGUCAUCUUGGUUAUGGUUUUAGGGCUGUUUGGAGGUGUGGACGAAAAAAAUGCGCGGGGAUCUCCGGUGAGGGCCACAUUCCCCUCUCUUGAUGCUUAAUCGCGAGCGCGAGCAAUGCCUUGCCUAUCGUGCAUCGUCACCGGGCGAUUUCCAGCGGCAGCCGCGUCAUCCGGCUCCUGCGCGUUCCAAAUCCAUGGCAACAACCUCAUGAGCUCCCAGCACAGAUUCCCGUCUGAAUUUCGCGGCGCUCACAGCCUCCGCAAGGGAAUCGCCGCGAGGACGAGAUUUCGCAGCGCUCGCAUUGUAUCGGCCCAGGAAUCGAGCAGCGGCACCUACUGGGAGCGCGAGGAGGCCCGGUGGCUCCGCGAGGAGGAGAGGUGGAAGAGGGAGGAGCAGCGAUGGCUACGUGAAGAGAAGCGCUGGAACAGCGAUCGAGAAUAUUGGGCAGUGGAGUCGUCGCGGAUGAAGGAAGAGAUCACUAGUCUCAGGAAGGAGGUGGAGAGGUUGGGCCGCAGCGAUCAAGUCCCUGACAAGCACGACGCGUCUCCUUCGUCGCUUAGAGAUGUUCUCGUGGGUCUCCUGCGAACUUUGAGCGAUAGAAAUGAAGAGGCAGUGGCGCCACCGUCCCAGCCAGCGAAGGCUCCACCCAUGGUUACCGAGAAAUCCGUGGAGAGCAUCAAGUUCGUUCUAUCGCCCUCGGAGACUAGCGCUGGCCAGACCAAAAGUUCUUCCAACUCCAAAGGUGGCACCAAAGGUUCUUCCAAGACAGAGAAGAAGCACGCCAUCUCCAACAAGCAGGAAGCGCGGAGCUUGAAAUACGGGGCUGAGGGCGAUGAUGUUAAGCUUCUCCAGGUGUGGUACGUGCUUUCCUUUUCGUUUUUGCGUCCGGCAUUCUCUUCGUUUCAUUUUCUUUCUUGCUCCAAGUAUUUCUAAACCAUUGCCAUCUUGUUCUUUUCCUUGUGAAUUCGCAGGAGGCUCUUGCAAAGCUUGGGUUCUAUUGCGGGGACGACGACAUGGAGUAUGCUUCUUUCUCUAGCGGCACAGACCGGGCUGUGAAGUCAUGGCAGGUACUCUUUUGCUACCUCCUCUGUCUUGCCUUCGUCUCGCAAGGUAUGACCCCGUGUCUUGAAUCUGGCAUGCAGUCAUCUAUAGGUGCUGCAGAGGAUGGAAUUGUUACUGCGCAAGUGUUGUCGCAACUUAUCAGUGAGCAUCAAGUCAUAACAGUGAAUACCUCCGCUGCGAUCAAACCGCCCGAGGUAUCUUAGUUCCUGUAAAACGUUUGGAGCUUUUUGAGGCCUUACCCUUCGACUUUAUACAGAGCCCAGAGGUUGUGGAUAGAAGCUCCACCGGACGAGUUUACCUCCUGGGAGAAAAUCGAUGGGAGGAUCCGGAGAGACUGUUGCACAGGCGGCAAGCGAAUCCCGCUGCGUCUCAGAACUGCUAUACGUGUAGAGGCGAAGGCCAGACACUGUGCUCGGGUUGGUACUUCUCAAACUUUCUCUUCUACAUAUCUCAAAGAUUGGUUUGCAGAAUGCGAUGGCACUGGAGAACUUAACGUCGAAGAACAGGCAAGCUUUCAAGCACUUCCAUUCGGUGUUACUUAUACUCGUUUAAACUUGCAGUUCCUCGACUGGGCCGGCGAAGGGGCCAAGUGCCCAUACUGUGAUGGCUCGGGGACUGUGGUUUGUGAAGACUGCAAGGGGAAGGGCGUGGCGGCCACUUAAGCUAGAGUUCGUCCAAAGUGUAAUAAGAUCGUUCACUUAAGCUCGUUUAAACUCCCAUGGCUGACUUACUUGAUACGUGCCUUGCAGUUUUAGAAGGCUUGAACAAUGUUCCAGCUCCGAAGCGAACACCACGAAAUUCAUUCUUUUAGAACGUAUGUAUUUUUACUUGCCGAAACUUGCUUCCACUGGCUGCAAAUUCUAAUCUUUAUAGCUGAAGAGGAAUGGAAGUUUUGAUGUAACUCGUCUUCAAGGCAAUGCUCUUCGAAAGAUCGAUCAAUUCUAUCAGAAACUGUCGACCGUCGGAUGAAGCUCCAUAGCAGCCGUUGGAUUGAUGAAAUCCAAACCGUCGGCUGUAAUUUGUUUGUAGAACCCUGAAUCUGGUGUGACCUAUAUUGUCGGGUGCCAUGGCGGGGGCGGAGGCAAUCGUCGCGGCAGUGGUCGCAUCCCUGAUCCUCAGCUGCGCGGCCUUUACCGAGGAGAAUCCAACCGAUCGGCGCGUUCUUGUUCUUCUGGAGGAUCUCGCCAUCGAGUCCACGCAUUCGUUGUUCUUCAAAUCCCUCUCAGGUUUGCUGCGCAGCAUCGCAUUUUCGUGCAUUCUUUGCUGAUCCGAGGCUGUAGACAGAGGCUACGAGCUGGAUUUGAAGCUUUCGACAGAUCCGAAGCUAGCGCUUCAAAGGUAUGGAGAGUAUUUGUACGACGCUCUCGUGAUUUUCUCUCCUUCGGUCGAAAGUAAGCAUUGCAAAGAUCUGUGUGAAAGUAGAAAUAUCGCCUCACGUUUUUUGUUUGUUCGUGAAGAAUUGGGUGGCUCGCUCACGAGCGAGGCAGUGCUUGACUUUGUGGACUCGGGACAUGACUUGAUUUUGGCUGCGAAUUCCACCACCUCGCAGUUUAUUCGCAACCUGGCUGCUGAAUGUGGAGUAGAGUUUGAAGAGGUACGUGAAGCUUUGUGAAUUUAGCAUUCUGGAAAAUUCAUCUCGUCAUUUUCAGGAUUUCGAUUCCGUUGUGAUAGACCAUCUGAGUUUUGAUGAUGCACGCGAUGCCAAAGACCACAGUUUGCUUGCAACGAAGAGCCUUAUCAAAUCUAAGGUCAUUCUUGGUGCCAAGGAAAUUCAGGUAUCAAGGAAUAGCUCUUUUUUGUAAGGUGCUUACUGUCCAACAAAUACUUCUGCUAGGCUCCCAUUCUCUACCGUGGCAUAGGGCAUGUAGUGAGUCCCGCGAAUAGCCUGGUGAGUGUCCUUUCUGCUAGUUUCAACAUAUUGUUCAUCUAGAAUUCCAGGCUAUAAAGGUGUUGACUGCAUCGUCCUCAGCGUAUUCAGCGAAUCCGAAUGCUGUAUUGGCGAGUCCUCCUGCUCUUACUGGCACAAGUAUCGGACUGGUCUCUGUUGUCCAGGUAUGCAUUGUAUUCAUUUCUUCUGCUUCUUUUCAUUUUUUUAAUUUUUCCUUGCAGGCUAGAAACAAUGCACGCAUCUUAAUAUCGGGGUCCUUGGACAUGUUCAGCGACAAGUGAGCAUUGUUUGCUUCUCUAAAUUUGGUUGUGACUGGUGAGCUUGUCUUCAUGCAGUUUCAUCAAUUCGCCUGUUCGAAUCACUGGAAGUACAGAGAGGUCUGAGCUCCAGUCUGAUGAUUCAUUUCUAAAGUUUCGUGUUUAUUUUAGGUUCGAUAAAUCAGGCAACCAGGAGUUCGUUGAUGAGCUGAGCAAGUGGGUGUUUCAUGAAAGAGGCCACUUAAAGGUGAUCCUAAAAACGCAGGACUAUUUUGGCGCUAACCUCCCAUUCUCCAGGCUGUAAAUCUACAACAUCACAAAGUUGGAGAGAGCGGCGAGCCUUCGAUGUACAGAAUCACCGACCAUCUUGUGGGUUAAGCAAGUUGACUGAAUGCGUAGCUCUUACUCUUUGCUUUCUGUGUGACGCAGGAAUUUUCUCUCGAGAUUUACGAAUGGACGGGCAAAAACUGGCAGCCAUACCAAGCAGAUGACGUCCAAGUGGAGUUCUACAUGAUGAGCCCUUAUGUACUCAAGACAUUGAAUCACAACGGGAAGGUGCUGUAAGAACUGGACUGAGUUAUGGAUUUAUCAGCUGUGUGGCAAUGCAGGGUAAAUACGAGACAUCCUUUCAAGUCCCGGACGUCUAUGGAGUAUUCCAAUUCAAGGUUGAUUAUAAGAGACUCGGCUACACCACUCUGGACCUGAGCAAGCAGGUAAAUAGACUUGAAGACAUUCAAAUGUGGUACUAAAUGCGUGCCCAUGCAGAUCCCUGUGAGACCUUCUCGUCAUAACGAGUACGAAAGGUUCAUCAAGGCUGCAUACCCUUACUACGGGGGCGCGUUUUCAAUGGUACAUAUAUUACGGUGGUUGCUUGUUUGGUGGAUGAUCUGAUUCUUGUUAUUACAGAUGGCAGGCUUUUUUGUUUUCGGCAUUGCCUUCUUGUAUCACAAGUAGGAACUGACUACAGACCGGUGUAGUGUUUCACAAGUCGUGAGCUAAAUUAUGAAGAAGGAUCUGUCAAAGUCGCUAUAUUCUGCUUAUGCUUCUUGUUGGGGUUUUUGUCGAACAGUAUCCAGUGUAGCAGCGGUGGAGCCAUGUGCAAAUCUAGUGGCCCCGUGAGCCUUUCAUGUUGGGCCAUCUCUCCCAGGCAAGCGUAUGCUUUUCUUUUCAUUCUCUCUCUCUCUCUCUCUCUCGUGGACUAACUUAGUCCAGUUUUUAAGGACGGGACAUUUGGGUGGAGUGAGAUUCAAGCAUAGGACGCGUCCCAAUAGGAGACAUUUCAUGUCAACGUCAGGGGGGAAAAGCAAAUGAAAAGCGCCUGGGAGAUUGGCAGGAAGGUCUUAAAAGCCGCAAAGUGGGAAGAUUUCCCACAAAAACCACACCGACAUCCUCCCCCUCUUACUGCAUCUGAUCCUACUGGUAAAGGAGUUCACUCGAUAUUCACUUUCUGAUUUUUCUCCUUUUCAUUUUCCAGCGGGACCGUCUGCCACCGAAACGUAGGAGCGACACGACACUACACUACAGUAGUACAGCAGCACAGACAGUUUUUGUUUUCCCGGAUCGGCUUUGAUCCUCCUGGAGGGGUAAGAGUAACCUCUGGUUUGAUGUGACGCGCGUUGUAUUCCAGGCGAAGUCAAGCGAUGCUUUCUCGUUGCAACUGACUCCUGGCCGGGCUGCCAAAAUGCCAUAUGGGUGGGGACACCGCGCCACGACACUUUAAAUGGUACAUUAACGUAAAUCGUUCUCGAGCGUGGAAAGAGAGCUCGAUAACAAAACAGACAAAGCUCCAAGUUUAUGGACUUGCGCGCUUGUCAAUGGGGUGUUUUUAUUGGCAGCCAAAGACGAACACAAGCAAAGAAAGCGAAGCAAAGAAAGGGGCUGUGUGAGAGGGACAAGCAAAGAUGUAGACGGGCACCACUAGUCGCACAGGCAAAGCAAAGAGAGGAAAAAAAAAACAAUGGGGCAUGCAACACAGCAGGGACAGCAAUGAAGUUGAUAAUUGAAAGCAAAAAAGAAAGAGGAGGACAAGCUGGCUGUCACAAACCAACAUAUAAGCCUUGUGC
rnacentral:lncRNA from 1 species